GAUUGAAUAGUCGUUAGAAUUGGGACACCAGAAUGAAGAUUGCACUUGAUGCUGCCAGAGGACUUGCUUACCUACACGAGUUCUGCUUGGAGUCCAAGUCCACCAUCGGCGUCGAGUUCACCAUCAGAACUCUUCAGGCAACUCCUCUUCUUAUUGUUCUUCAGUUUCGGUUAUUGAGUUCAUUGCAAGUUAUGAUUGUUUGAAUUUUAGUUUUAUUUUCAUGGAUUUGUUGAAGAUGCUAAGGAAAUUGAUAGUGAUAGGUUGUUAAUGGGGUUAUCAGUGGCGAAUCAAGCACAAUGAAUUGUUUAUGUGAGGAUUUGAUUAAGUUUCUGGGACUGAUUUAACCGAAAUGAUUUGUAUUUUAGUGGAUACAUGCAGCAAUGAGAUGCCGAAAAAUGUGUUUUUUGUGUUUAGAUCUAAACCAGCCUGAUUCCAGUAGGAAAGUUGGUCAACAAUUACAUCAACGAAAAUGUAGGGCUUCAUAUGUCCAAGUGUUUUAAUUUGGAGUAAUUGCAUUAUACUUUUGCUUUGUUCCUACACGAUGUUGCUGUGUGUUUUUGAUUCUUGUCAUAUGGACUUUGAGAACUGAUUGGAAUGUGAUCAUGUUAUUAGAUACUUUCAUGGAGUUGAUGAUAGUGCAUUGGUGCUUAUUGAUUUUAUGCACUAUGUAUAGGUGAGUGUUGUAUUCCAGGCGUAUUUGAACUACACGUAUGAAGGCAACAAAUUAGAGUCUCUAAUGCCUUUAAUGCUAGGGAAAAUGCCCAUUAGCCUAGUAGGAGGUCCUACUGACCCUAAUGGGUGGUCAUACUGCCCCCAACCCAAUAGGGACUUGUUCUAAGUGACUAAAGGACACAGUUAAGUUCAAGGGUCAUAUUUUCCUUAGUAAGAGGUCCUACUGACCCCAAUAGGAGGUCCGACUGACCCUAAUAGGAGGUCCGACUGACCCCAAUAGGUGGUCCUACUGCCCCCAAUAGGAGGUCCUACUAACCCCAAUAGGUGGUCAUACUGCCCCAUAUAGGGACAUGUUAUAAGUGACUGAAGCAUAGUUAAGUUCAAGGGUCAUAAUGCCCCCAGUAGGAGGUCUUACUGACCCCAAUAGGGAUCUGUUAUAAGUGACUGAAGCAAGCAGUUAAGUUCAAGGGUCAUACUGCCCCUAGAAGAGGUCUUACUGAUAGGAGGUCCUACUGUCCCCAAUAGGUGGUCAUAUUGCCACAGUUAAGUUCAAGGGUCAUAAUGCUCCUACUAGGAGGUCCUAUUGACCCCAAUAGGUGGUCAUACUGCCCCUAAGAGGAGGUCCUACUGACCCCAAUGAAUGGUUAUACUGACCCUAAUAGGAGGUCCUACUGACCCUAAUAGGAGGUCUUACUGACCCCAAUAAGUGGUCCUACUGCCCCCAACAAACCCCCCGACGAACCCCUUAUUGCCCCAAUAGACCCCCCGAUAUGACCUCCUACUGCCCCCAAUAGAACCCCCAACGAAACCCCUACUGCCCCAAUAGACCCCCCGAUGAACCCCCUACUGCCCCCAAUAGAUCCCCUAUUGCCCUCAAUAGACAUCCGAUCACCUCUUGUUAAAAAAAAAAAAGAAAAAGACAUCAUGUCAACAGUCUCUAGAGUUCAGUCAACGGUCGUUGGAGUCCGGUCAACGUCGUCGGAUCCCGGUCAACGGUCGCAGGAGUCACGGUCAACGGUCAUCGAUUGGGAGAAUCCGGUCAUAGAUAUUUAUUUCAAAAUAAACCUUCUAUUGUUCUAAUUAUGACUUAUUGUAGUUUAUUUAAAUCAUUAAGGGAAUAAUUGUUUUUUUCCUGUUUAAGUUGGUUAUUGAGAAUUUUGAAAUCUGAUUUUGUUGAUGAGAAAAAAAUUAUUAAAAUUAAGGCUAAGAGCAUCUUUAGCAAUGCUAGCCAUUUUUAAGUUAAAUUUUAGUCAAAUUAGCUAAAACGUCAUUUUGGCUAGCCUCUUUAGAAAUAUGGCUACAUCAAUGUUCUCUAUUUUAGCUAGCAUUACAUCAACAUUAUUCUUCAAAUAGAAAUUAAAUAGUUUAAAUAUAUUUAUAUAUCAUAUAAAAUAUCUUACAAGAAAUGUAAUAAAUUAUAGCUAGCCUCAUUUGAGCUAACUCGGUCUCAUUUGAGCUAACUCGCUAGCUAAAUAUAGCUAGCAAGAUAGCUAAAAGUUAUAAUAGCUUAAGUUUGGCUAGUCUGCUGGAGCUCUUAAAACAUCCAAAAAAAGCUAAAUACGCUCUCUAAAAUAGCUAAAAGCUAAAAUAGAGAGUCUGUUAAAGUUGCUCUAAUAGGCAUUGUCCCCGUUUUUUUUUUUGAUGAAAGUAUAGUAAAAGUUAAAACUUGAGUUUUUGAAGAAUGAAGGCAGUUUAAACCCUAAAUAGUGUUUUUGAUUGUUGAUCCAGCAAAAUAUGUUUACCUUGGCAUCAAUGGAACUAUUGAAUCGUCUGGAGCGGAGUGGUACCAAAAUAUGUUUCAACGUGUUCUUUAAUUCCUUAGAUGGAAGCCGAAAGGCAUGUAAUGGGCGUUUUGGCCUUAGGCUAGUACCAUUGGUUCAUAAUUCGAUUACACUACAUUGUCUGAAUAUGUUUCGAUAUGCUUGCUGACUAUUGAGCUUCUUGCAAUGAUAUUAGUAGUGAUCGAGUUUUCUUUAAAAGAAUAAUAAUAACAACACUAACAAAAGACAUCAGUAUGUGAUAUUGCUUGCCGUCCAAAGCAUUUACAAUAUUGACAAUAUAGAAAAAUUGUUUAAUAUCCAAAUUGAAGGCGCAAAGAGCUGUAAGAGAUUCUCAAACAAACUACACCAAUUUUGUUUUUUCAGAUUUUAGAUUCAAAUUUUUUUUUCUUUUCUUUUAAUUUGAUUUAUUAUGAAAUCAAGUAAUUCCAUGUCACUUGUCAAGUCAGUUGUUGUAAGUUGACAUCAUACCUACAAUUGAUUUAGACCAUUGAAUUUUUUAACAUCUAAUGGCUAAUAAAUGGUGUCAAAAUUUAUGUCAAACCUAAUGUCCCAGGAACCGGACCCAUGCUAUUUAUUCGACGUACUACAUUAUUCAACGCAUUACGUUACUUCGAUGUACGUAUUAUUUCGCUGGAUAAAAUUACAUAAACAAAACUCUACUUAAAUAAACAAAAACCAUUGUUGCACAACACAUCAAAGACACAACAAUAGCUUCUCAUCUCAAAUAUGUAAAAAACAAUGGUUUCUGUCGGACCCCAAAUUCGAUUGUAUAUAAAGCAUCGAAAUUGUCAUCCAAUUUAGUUUCACAACAACAACGAAACAAACAGAAAAUUUAGCCCAAAAGAAUUUUUGGACAUCGAAUUAAAGUCCAAACCACAAAUCGAUAUCUGCGGCCCAAAAGCUAACAUUUUUACAGUUUAACAGUUUAAGAGAUUGACUUACUGACUUAUGGAUUGAUCGAGUAUAUGUUUUAGUAAACUACAUAUUAGUUACUAACCAAAUUUCAAUUUAUAAAUACAUCCUUUACACAUAAUCUUACAAAUAUAAGGACAAAAAUUAACAAAUUAUGCCAAAUUGGUGCACUUGCCAUCUGUCACUGAUAUUUUACCGAACUACCCUUCACUACAUAUUCUACUGCUACUGUCGACGAAAAGCGUGCUACUACCGAGUAAAACGUGCUACUUCCAAUAGAAAAGUGCUACUGCUAGUGCUAUUAGAAUUUUUCCGACCAUUCUCUGAUGCUAGCGCAUUGCUACUAUUGAUUUAGAUGCUUAGUGCGCUGCUAUUGCCAAGUCUGAUGUUAGUGCGCUGCUACUGCCGAAGCGUACUACUGUUGGAAAAAACCUGCAAAAAACGAAGAACACUGCAAUUUUAACAAAGACCUCCAUCAAUCCACAACGUGAUCAUCUUGUUCCAUAAACGCUCCCUCACAACCUCCAUUUUCAGAUCUCCAAUCUCUCUCUUGAACUCCUCCAGCUCCUCCUCUUUCUCCUGAACCACAAAAUCAUCAGCUCCAAUUACCCAAUCGCGCGCUCUACAAACCCAACCUGAUUGAAGACGAACAUGUUGACAGAUUUAAUUUGAGAUCAGAGUAAAAUCCAACAUAGAAGAAUCAAAUUUUUUUUUUGACCUUUUAAAUCAAACAUCACCAACCUUUAUGGCAUUUUCGGCCGAGUCACUCUCACCCUUUCGGAUCGAAGACGACAACGACGAAGAUCUCGACGUCAUCCGACUCCACUGCCUGAACGAUCAACUACGGUAAGCUCAGACCGAUUAAGAGAUUGAUUAAUUGGAUCUGAUGGAACUUAUUGGAAGCUCCGGCAUCAGAUUGACGAAUCCGAUCAAAUCUGUAAGAUUUGAUUCAAUUUGGUGGUGCUUUCGUCGCCGGAACCGGGUUUUGAGGUGAAUCGAUUAUUAUCUGUGAUAAACGUCGCCGAUGACUUCAAUGAUGCAGUGGUGGUGGUGGAGCGUGGGUCAGGAUGAGAGAGAGAGAGAGAGAGAGAGAGAGAGAGAGAGAGAGAGAGAGAGAGAGAGAGAGAGAGAGAGAGAGAGAGAGAGAGAGAGAGAGAGAGAGAGAGAGAGAGACGGUGGGUGGUUGGGUGAGUGAGUGAGUGGAGAGAAGAAGGGUUUGUGGUCAUGUCUGUAAUUAAUUUGAAAAUUGGACAUUUCGGUCAUUUGACAGUGAAAUUUCGGAUCAGGCUAAGCUUUGGUUCAUGGUGGGCCUCACCUCAUGUUCUAAUAUGUUUAGAAAUUAUCAUUAGUGGGUUAUUUAUGUUUUUAAAUUUGAUCAUGUGCUACUAUUUAAUUUUCUCUAUAUGUUUCGGCCAUUUCCGUGACUCGCAAGGAGACACAAUUGUCACAGAAUUAAAUAGAAGAAGUCGAUUUGGAAACGAAAUCGCUUAAUCAUUCUAAGGAAGGGAACACGUCGAAAACCCUAGCUACUAACAGUAUAUAUAGGCAAGGUUUGAGGACGAGAAAAGAACCUUCUGACAAUCUCACAAACAACUACAAAUAGCGGCUCCUGCUUUCAGGCAUUUUUGCCGAUCUAUCAAAAGCCUCCCUUGGAGCACUACUCGGCAGCUUUUGCUCGCCAUUCAGAUACUAACCUUAGCAAACACCCAGUGUUUCGAUUUAGUAUAGUUCAUGACGGGUUACAAGAAAAAUCCUAGUCUCGACUAGGUAAAGUAGAACAUAACAAACGGAGUUGGCGCUCUCCAACUUCUCACCUCACUUAGAUCUGCCUUCUUCUCACCUCACUCAGAACUACCUCAAAUCCAAAUCAGCUGUCGGAGAAUGACGUCACUCCACCCCUCCGAAGUCCGAACUGGACACCGAUUCCGUCGCCUCCAUUCCGCGAUCGGACCCCUCAAACGACCAAACACCUAUACGGUUGUGGGUUCAUCAGUCAGAGAGCGACUAGGCAGUGGAAUCCGAUCGAUCUAAUUCAACGACUUGGUUGUGGAAUUUGAUUUGAUUUCUUAAAGAUCUUCAUUAUCCUAGUCGUCGUCUUCUAUCCAAAAGAAUUGGAGAGCGAGGGGCGCUGCUACUGUUCAUGUUUUUAUUUUAUUUUUUAGAUUUGUUCUCUUCUUCCCAUCAUCUCUCUAAACCACAACAUAUAUUGGAAAAAAGAAAUUGAAUUCAUUGCUGAGAGGUUUGAAUUCAGUAUAUUUGUCUAUUGCUAGAUGCAAUUUUGUUGCUCAGUAGCAGUAAUAUGAACACAGUAGCAAUGAUAUUGAACUGAGUUCGAAUGUCAUAGGCAGUAGCAAUUUUGUACGAGUUCUGCAGUAGCAGGUUUGUACUAGCAACUGUGCAGUAGUAGGUUUUGACGAAUACAAUACUAUUGUGAGAUCUGAUUGGACUUUGACUUCUUUGUUUCCAGAUCAUCACGACUUUGAGACCUGAAGGUCCAGGGGAUUCGGAUUCAUCACCUUAGCAACGAGAAGGCCAUGAGGGACGCGUCGACAGUGAUGAUCGAUGAUGAUCAGAGUUUGUAUAUGUGUUUGUCAUUUCGCUGCUACUGUUGAGAUAUAUUGGAUGGGUAAUUUGCUACUACUGUGAUAUGUUGGAACAGUAAGUUGGUGUUACUGUUGAGAUAUGUUGAAGAGGUAAUUUUAAGCUACUGUUGGGAUAUGUUGGAAGGGUAAAUUUGCAGACGAGUAGUAACAUUCAACAAUAGCAUAUUCUAAAUCGACAAUAGUAAGUUUGUUUGGUUGCUGAGAAGUGCCGGAAAAAAAUUACAAUAGCACCGACAGUACUGCAGUAGCACUUUUCUAUUGGCAAUUCAAUAACACUUUUCUUGCUCGGCGGCACUUUUCUUUUGUAAAUUGAAAUUUAGUCAGUAAUUAAUAUAUAGUUUGCUUAAAAAAAUAGAACACUAUCAAUUGUGAUACAAAAUCCGCUAACGUAGCAUUACUUUUUUUUUUUUAGACGAUAUUAGUUCCUCGGAGGCAAAAACGAAUUCCGUUGCCGGACUUGAACCCGGGUCUUUCGGGUGAGAAAUGGCUAUAUUUCGUUAAAACCCAAAUAAAAGUUCUCCCAAGUCACAAAUUUGAUACAUACUAACUCUACCGCAACCUGUCCAGCCGCUGAGGUCCCUUCGCAGAGUAGUACCCCUCCUCGCAUGCCUUUGACACACAAGUAACAGCAGAAUCGCUCCUAGUUUGAUUCUUCUCAGAAAACCCGAGAAAGCAGAUCUCGUUGCAGAAGAACCGCCGGGUUACGCUCACUAUUUUCUUCACCUCAUUCAUCCGGAGCCUAAACUCAGUAACCACCUUCAGCCCCAACGCUAUCGUAACUCUCCCUGCAGCCUCGGUUAUGUUCUUCAUUACGUCAUCUCCCACGUAAGCCCUCAGUGUCGCAAGCUUGAAACUCACUCUGGUCUGGUUCCUCGGAGGGUUCAAAACAAAAGGAGGCAGAAUCGUGGUUGCAAGGACUAAUGCGUCGCUCUCGUCCGACCUGCCGUAGUAGAGCCACACCUGGACGACGUUGUAGUUGACGACGAGCUUGUCGUCGGAGUUUUUGGCGAGGAGGAUCAUGUCCCACGUGGUGGUGAGCUCGCCGGGGUUGGUCGUGUUUAGUGAGGAAAUGAAGGCCGAGUCGACCCGGAACUCGGGAUGAAAGUGCCCUAAUAAUCGACGCAAACUUCGAAACCGUAAUGUCAAGAGGAUGAACAAGAUGAUCAACAAGCAAGUGGUGCAGGCUAAGCAAACUGCCGCUUUUUUUUCUUCAUAAUUGUACGUGAUGAUGAACUUGUGAGUUGUGACGACUAAUGCUGAUUGUGAUUAGGGUUUUUUGUGCUUAUUCGAUCUUAUGCGUAAGUUAUAACCCUAUUCUCUCUCAAUCACCUUGCUGUUUUGAAUGGAUAAGUACGUAUACAUUUUAAAGAUGAUGUUGAACUGUUGAAUCAUAUGUUGUAUAUAUAUACUCAUAUGUUGUAUAUAUUUUAAAGGUAAUUUUAUGCAAGAAUAUUUUCACGGAUAUACGAAAUAUAUUAUAACGCAUUGUAGUCUCAAUAUUCACGUCGUAGUGUCAUCAUACAAUGUCAUCCCAAAAAAUUUAUAAUAUUUAUCAUUCUAAAAAAAAAUAAUCUAUCAUAUUUAAUGAAAAAAUCUAUUAUAUUUAAUGAAACAGUGUGAAGAUGCAGAGCGCAUCUAACCAGAAUCGGCAGAGGAAGCCAAAAACAAGUUAGAAAGGCUUGAGAUACAGCUGCGUGGUGUGUUAAGCAUAACCAGCAACAAUGUUACGUGAAGAAACAAAAAGUUUCAAACGUAAUCGUCGCCCACACCAUGACCUAUGAUCUGUCUCUAUCUAGCUAUGUCCUCAGUUUUCAAUAAGAUACUACUAUAUAUGCCAUGCUUAUAUAUACAAGCCAAGCCAAGUUUCUUGUCAAACCCCAAAUUCUUAUAUAAAGCCUCCAUAUCGCCAACCAGUUUAGUUUCACAACAGCAACAAAACAAACAGAAAAUUAGGCCAUUUUUCCAGGAUCAUGACUCAUAAAUCUUUCACUUUCUGAUCUGAUCCUCAUUGAUCUCUGUAUUUUUUCCAUAUGGGUUCUUCCGGUACUUGUUGGAUUUCCAAACCUGUCUUUUUUGUGUUCGUGAUAUUGUCUCUUGGCUCCUGUGCUUCAUCAUCAUCUUCCUUGCACCCUUUGGUUUUCCAGUCACAACUCGAACACCUAAACCACACGGCAAUAUCAGAUUUUAGGGUGCUCAACAGAAGAUUCUUUGGCGACUGUCCGAAUCCGAGCCCUUAUCUGCAAAUCAGUUUUAACUCGAGUUCUGGUGGCUUGGGAGAUGAUGAGUUUGUGACUGUCAAUGUUACUGGCGUUUUGAACCCUUCCAAAAGUGAUUGGGUGGCCAUGAUUUCACCUUCUACGUCCGAGUAAGUGUUAUACCUACGUUUUCGUAUAUCUGUUAUCAUGAAUGUUAUGUUAUCAAAUGCAUGUAAACCACAGAUUAAGUAUAGUCGUUUGAUGAUAACGUGGUGGUGUUGUUUUGAUAUUUCACUAUUAUUAACUCCAUGAUUAUUUAUAUGCAUGCAGUGUCUCAAGCUGCCCUUUGAAUGCGAUGUAUUAUGUACAGACUGGUGAUUUUAGUAAACUUCCUCUUCUCUGCCAUUAUCCUGUUAAGGUAAAUGAUUCUCUUUUCCUUCUGAUGAGGUUAACCUGAUCGAAAAUAAUAACUAUAGAUUUGAAGAAGGAAAGAGAGAAAUUAAUAGUCUGGUAAUUAAAGAACAUUAGGAGCUAGCUAAAUAAUAACUAUGAUGAAGGAUAAAAUGUAGAGAUAAAGAGAUAGCAAGAGAAUCAUCAUAUUAUUCAUUGAUAGGAACCCUUUAUAUAGGGAAUUACACAAUACCAAUAUGGUAAGGAUAUGAAUACAUAGAUCUAGUCUAACUACAUAUCCUAUUGGUAUAAGGCCAAGGCACACAUAGAGAAUAUCCUAGAACACUCCCCCUUGUGCCGCGCGCUGAUAUGCCGAUGGUGCUGAUCUGUUGCCUCGUUAAAAACCUCGUCAAGUCACAAAAACCCUGUGGGAGAAAAACUGAACCUUGAUCGUAGGAGAAAAAGAGUACAACGCACCCUUCACAUUUGAUAGUGACAUGUAUGUAUGUGCUAGACUCCCCCUGAAGUUCGCACCUCCCCCUGAUCUUUACAUCAAUCAUGGGGCUCUUCCUGAUUCUUACUAAUCACGGAAGUUUCAAAAACUUAGCAUGUCAAUGCUCUUUAACAUAUCUUCAAAUGUGGCAUUAGACAAUGAUUAACUAAAUCAUGCCGUAUUGUCCUCAAAUGAUCUUUUACACUUAGAUCUUGAGGAGAAGGUCGCUUGUGAACUCAAAACAUAAGUUCGUGCAGGAAAUCAGAUUUCCGCGCAGCAUGACCUUCAAUUAUUAGAACAGUCGUAACUUCCUCUAGGAAAUACAUAUGAACGAACCGUAAACGGUUUUGGAAACUAGACUCAUUUAGCUUUCCAACCGUAUAUUACACACAUUCUAGUUCAUCAGGAGCUGUUCACAAAAUCCCGUCGAAGUUGACUGUUUUGCCAAAAUCAGAUUCUCGGACAGAUUCGUCAUACUUUGCGAAAACGGCCAUAACUCACUCAAUAUGAUAGGUAUGAUCAAAUGGUUGGUGUCUCUGGAAAGUAGACACAUAGACCUUUCCAAUGGUACCAAUUUUACCAUAUUCCAGUGAGUGAGGUUUCCUGUAAGUCCCGUGGAGCUUGACCUACGAAACUUGGCAGAUUCUGAUUUCGCUAUUGAUGUGUCUUUCUUAUGUAGGGAUAGAAUAAGCCUCAACCUUUCAUACCAUUAAGUAUUGAAAAAGGAGUUACUGCCAUUACAUUGGUGUUGCGUGGGCGCAUAGCUACACUUAGCUUUACAACUUUUCAUAGCGAAUGAGAUGUCAAGUCUUUCGUAUUGUGUUGAGUACAUUGAUGCAUCUAAUUGUACUUAGAUGGGAACUCCAUCUCUUAACACAUAUUGUCAUCUUGCUUUAGACAAAACGNNNNNNNNNNNNNNNNNNNNNNNNNNNNNNNNNNNNNNNNNNNNNNNNNNNNNNNNNNNNNNNNNNNNNNNNNNNNNNNNNNNNNNNNNNNNNNNNNNNNNNNNNNNNNNNNNNNNNNNNNNNNNNNNNNNNNNNNNNNNNNNNNNNNNNNNNNNNNNNNNNNNNNNNNNNNNNNNNNNNNNNNNNNNNNNNNNNNNNNNNNNNNNNNNNNNNNNNNNNNNNNNNNNNNNNNNNNNNNNNNNNNNNNNNNNNNNNNNNNNNNNNNNNNNNNNNNNNNNNNNNNNNNNNNNNNNNNNNNNNNNNNNNNNNNNNNNNNNNNNNNNNNNNNNNNNNNNNNNNNNNNNNNNNNNNNNNNNNNNNNNNNNNNNNNNNNNNNNNNNNNNNNNNNNNNNNNNNNNNNNNNNNNNNNNNNNNNNNNNNNNNNNNNNNNNNNNNNNNNNNNUAACAAAGGCAUAGUUGAUAGGGUUUAGCUUGCGGUGUCGGCAUCACCUGCCCAAGGACCUAUCUCUUUGUUAAUGUUGGAUCGCAUCUUUCCAUUAGGCCAAUCAACUAAGUUGAUAUCCAUCAACGAAGGGUGGUUCGAUAGUAGACUCAUUAUCUCACGUCCUCAUGUACACUAGUGUAAUACUUGUAGAGAUCUCUAUAUGGAUUGGAUUUGAUAUUGAGGCGUCCCCCAACGAUAAUCACAAUUCAGACUUCAUGAGACGGAUUUGAGUAUCACUAAUCAAUGGAUCAGGUUGUGCCAAGCUCACUUUCUUUCUAGUGCAAGACAAUAUCGAACCUAAGGGCCUCCCUCCUUUUAGGGAGCCACACGGCCUUGUGACGCCAAUUUUGCCACUAUAUGGCGUCACCAUAUCACCAUCCAUGGUGAUGGUGUCAAGACCAACACUUUUUGGUCGCACCAUGUCCUUUUGUAGGACAUCAAUCCUUGCAGACAUAUUUGCAACAUGUGAUCUCGUCACUUUAACACUAUAAGCAUUUGGGAUCAAGAUGAGACUUAGUGGGGACAAACCACGACAAUUCACGUCGUUCCACUUGAACACUUGUGUUCUUAUCUCCCCCUAACGGCGGGAAUAUUGUCUCAUCAAAGUGACAAUCCGCAAUUUAACGGUGAAUGAGAUCGCUUGACAAGGUUCCUACAUGUGCGGAUUAUAGGUGGAGGUUCAUAUCCAACCUAAACUUAUUCAUCUCAAAAUGACCCAUCAUUGUACGCAAUGGCAAUGCGAUUUGGCACCUAGAAAUAACAUAUAGCGGAGCUCAAGGAUUGGAGAUCCGUUUCAAUCCUGCCGAGCUCAAGGAUUGCAAUUUCGUGUCAAUCCUGGUACACAGUCACGAGCUGUAGUAUAACAAAAUUCAAUGAUGGUGGGUCGUAAAUGAAUAGUAAAGCUGCAUGCAAAUAUUGCAUAGCCCCAAAACGCAAUAGAAAGAGUGGUGCGCAUCAAUAAUGUUCGAGCGACAAGCUAAAGUUGCUUGGUCGUAGCCUCGGUGAGACCGUAUUGCGUGUGAACAUGGGGUACAGGACACUUCAACUUACAUCCCGAUGAACUUCUUUAAAGAAUAGGUAGUGAGCCCGUAGAAGUAUAAGCAGCAUAAGCAGUAGAUAAUAGUGUAACACGUGACCAGUGUGCUAACACUUCAACCAACACCAUAAAGCAUAAAAGGUGUCCGUAAGUUGGUUGUAUCUAUCUACAUAAUUUUAUGUAAGAAUAGAAUGUUCACUUUUGUGUUAUUUAGCAUAGGAAGGUCUCACUCCUAAUUUAGCUAAAGAAUAGGCUUUCAAAACGAGAAAUGAGCAUUGCAGGGGGCCAAUGCGACAUCGAGGAAAGGCCGGUGCACCUCAAUUGCUUGAGGAAUUGACCGGACGACCUCCAGGAAGUUGGAGUCGUGUUCGGGUGACGUCAAUGUCCCCCGGGUCACCACCAUGCUUCAUAGUGAUGCUACAUCUCGAAUGUCUUCGUUUUGAGCGGAAGAAUGGAUGUCCAUGAGAAUUUCUCAAAAUUUGGAUCAUUAUAUCUCUUCCAGGUUGACCAAUUAGUCAAACCAAAGCCAAUAUGAGUCAGUGUUCCAAAUAUCAUGUUUGGCGACAACAUGGGAUUCGAUAUUCGAAUCAUAGUGACAUACAGUCCACUAGAUUGACUCAUGAAUUUCUCCAAGAUGCGCUUCAGUCCGCAUUCAUGAGAAGGUAUACACAAAAGAAUUCUUGUUCAUUCUUACAAUGUGUUUUCAAAUGAAAACCAUUAGCAUGAAUGUCUUUAAAGCUCAACAUGGUUCCUUAGAAUGUUGUGGAUAGUUCCAUUAUCUACGAAGCACUCAAUGUCUCUAUGAGACAUAACUAGAAGGAGUAGAUAGGCGAGUAAAUAGUUCUACUAGAACCAUUUAGAAGGAUUGAAAGAAGCUACGAAAAGCUGCAAUCCCGACAGUGCAUAAAAGUUUCCGCGCAGAAUGACCUUUGCGCACUAAAACAGCCAUAACUUCUUCGUUAAAAUAGAUAUGGACGAACCGUGAAAAGUUCUGAAAACUAGACUCAUAGAGCUUUCCAAUGAUAUAAAGCUCACUGUCUGGUUCGUCCGGAGCUGUUCACAAAGCUCAAACGAAGUUGACUAUCCAGACUGUUUUUCGCAGAUUUGGCAUGUGCGAAGCUGUGAAGCUUGCAGGUGGCGUGUAGGCUUUUGCCUUAGCCAAAAGUGACGUGUGUAUGAUCAAAACCAAGUCCUUUCGAUCGUUCUAAGGUCGUAAACUCCAUGACUAGUUAGCAAAAGCUCCCUGACAUGAACAUAAACUAACUCAGAGGACCUAGAGGAUCCGAUUAUGAUGAUAAUUUUCCAGCUUUGAUAAGUCUUCAACGUCUUUUGCAAGACGGAAAUUGGUUUAAUAGCGUAGGGGGAUCCAAAAUCAAAAGCUUUCGGUAACUCCAAGUCAGUAUGACCAGGCAUGUCCGUGGAGGGUCGGUAGUGCGAGGCAUACUUAAAACCACUAUCUCCUUAAUUUCAGACAAUUUUAAGACAUCACACUGAGCUUGGAUGAGCCUAGUUGAACAAUUGAUGAUGAAAAAUCUGCUAUAGGGUAGAAGACUUAACCGGAAACACGUGGGCGAUCCUCCUUGAGGAUGCAGUGCCAUGAGUCACCUUCAAAGGAAGGGACCAAAAUCGGCACAAUAUGCCAUGUUUCUAAGGACGAUGUAAGUGUACAUCUUGAUUGUAAAUCAAUAUGAACUAUAAGAGGAGAAUAGUUUCACUUCGAAAAAAUUCUCAAGGCAUUCAUUAUUGCUAAUGUGAGUACAUCGAGGUCUCAAAUAGACAAAGGACGUCGAUACAACGCCUUAGUACAUAAAGUUUGGAACGAAAAUCAAUGUUUAGCCGAUGACGUCAAAGUCAUGGGUAGCUAGAGCAGGAUCCGAAUCUUUGAAAUUCGCGAUCAUGAGGAUGACGUUCUUGUCCUCAUAUUGAUUUUCCGUACCUUUUUGUAUGCAUUCACAAUUUGAAGGAGCUUGACAAUCUUGAACCAGUGAUCCGAAGAUCCAUGACGGUUGCAUUAAUGUCAUGAGCUGACGUGAGUAGUUUUGACAAAAUGGUGUCUAGACCGGGAGUGUCGCUAUUAGAGCCGGCAACACCUCCCCCUCUUUUCUAGACAUCGGCACGACAUUUUCUGCCGUUGCCAUGACCCAUAUUGUUGUCCCCACAUUAGGGGAUAAUCCUAAAUAAGUUUAUCACAUUAGCGUAUAUACAAUUCCUGUUUGUAUGAUCAAAAUCAAGUCUCGUUGGUAAUUCCACACCAACUUGGAGGACCUAGAGAACUUGAUGAUGAUCGAAUCCGCUAAAGAUUAUGGAUCAUGAUGCCACAAAAGAUCAUCGACAAUAUGUAGUCAAUUAAGGUGGUAAGCAAUCCACUUGACUAAUAACUCAACAAGUAGAGUUAUAUGAACGUUUCGAGAAACGCUCUAUGAGUGCAUUCCAUAGUACUUUGUGGUCAUUACUUUUUGCACAGAUUGCCAUUGAAGGCUUUUGUCGAUGUGGCACGUCAAAGACUUUGAGCGCAUGAGAUGUGAAAUCUCGGCAUCUAGGCUUGUUAGCCUGGGAGUCAAAACAUGUGGUUUAAUCCUUUCGAAUGAAAGGUUCCACAGAUACCAAGCGAAGAUCCGCCUGAGGCAUCUAGUACGUCAAAACUCAAAGGAGCAGAAUGUUACAUUGCUUUUGCAUACAAAACCAAGCUGUUAUGAGACUCGAUAGAGGUCACAAACGAUGCUUUUAAUGGUUUGUCCUUCGGAUUGAUCAUACACAAUCCGGAAAAGCCGCGAAUUGAUCAAACACAAUUCGGAAAAAGGCCUCGGAUUGAUCAAACACAAUCCGGUGAAAGGUCGGGGUUGAUCAAACACAACCCGGACAAAGAAACAAGAGUGAUCAAACACACUCUUGACCCGCGAAUAAAAUUCCGGGAUUUGGGUACCUGCACGCACAAAAUCCCAAGCAUAGAAUGGAGAUGGAGAAGGGAGGAAAGGAUUUUAUCCUCCCCGAGUUAUUGAACUUGGAAAAGUUUAAGGUUUCAAAAAACAUACCUUUCUAGAGGCUGCCGAGAGGAGAAAUAACGUUUCGCCUACUUAUACUUUGAAUUUGGGGCUGAAAAUUUGAUAGGAGGAGCAGCUCUGGAUGGGGAAGCGGCUAUCAAAAUUUCAGGUUGAUCGAAGCAAGGGAAGGUGGUGAACCGGUGGUCGGUAGAGGUGGCGGUCUGGAAUCUUCUGGCGGCCAGUUCGGAGACUUUCCGACCGGUUCUCAGGGUGAGACCGGCGGCGUUGGAUCCGGGGCGGAGAGAGCUUUCUGGGGAUAUAAAAUUCAGGCGGAGGACAGUUGGAAUUUUGGUCGAAAAUCGGGAAAAACAAGGCUGCCCGAUUUUAGGGUUUUGGUUUUUUAGGGUUUAGAAAAAAAUGGUGGGCUAUUGGCUCUAGGGUUAGAACAAAGUGCAUGAUAACGUGAUGAAUGAUAAAAUGUAGAGACAAAGAGAUAGCAAGAGAAUCAUCAUAUUAUUCAUUAAUAGGAGUCCUUUAUAUAGGAAAUUACACAAUACCAAUAUGGUAAGGAUAUGAAUACAUAGAUCUAGUCUAACUACAUAUCCUAUUGGCAUAAGGCCAAGACACACAUAGAGAAUAUCCUAAAACAAACUAUAGAAUAAUGCACUAUAUUUGCCUAAUUUUGCCUAAUUUGUCAAUAAACUAUAUUUGAUGAAAUAUUCGAAUAAUGCACGUACGUAUUUUUUCAUACUAUACAUGUCUAGUCUAAUCUUAUGCAUAUCUUAAUUUUCAUAGGGGAAAUGAAAAUAGUUUGACAAUUGCAUUUUAGGUCUAGUAUUUGACAGGCUCUUUAGAUAAUAGAUUUGUCCGGCUGUCCAAUAGGAUGUAUAUCAGGACAAGUUUUUGAUGUCAUAUAUCAUGGGCAACAUGGCAAAGGCCGCCCUAUUGAUGAACCAAAACUACAUGUAAUUUCGUCCGUCAUUUCAUGAUACAUGUCUCUCAUUCGUAAAUGUUAGGCCGUGAGUUCAUCAACCAAAACUGCAAGCUAACUGAAAAGAGUGAUCAUCAGCUCAAUUCCAUCGAUCGGUCACCACUACUUUUGAUGACAUAGAUUGAAAAGAGUUAGAUCGAUCAUGAGCUCUUUUUGUCUUUCGGCGGGAAGAAAUAGCACAUUUAAUGUUGGCAGUUAGGUCAGAAAACAGAAGAAGCUAGACAGCACCACUUGUGAUUAUAUAGGUAGGUAGUAACAGAAAAAUGGUUUAAUCGUGAAAGCCCAAAUAGUCAAACAACGUAGGACAGCAGCCAAUACAUGUGUUUAAUAUGAAUCUCUUGUUAACAAAGUGGCGCCAAAGCAAAGAAACUAUGACGUUUACGCAACAACGUACCUGAUGGGGUAUGUGUUGCAUUAUUCUAUCUCACAAACUAUUUCAUCGUAUAUAUUUCUGUCAUAUUUUAGAGAAGUAAGUUUUGUGAGAAGUAGUUAAUUAUGUUACAAUAGUGUUCAUCUGGUUAAUUACUGACCAAAAGAUUCAUGGUCAAUCAACUAUUUCAUUCCGUUACCGUCUUCUAAAACCAUUUUAUUGGACAAUGUAAAAUUGUAAAAUCUUGUUGCCAAGAGGUUUAGCUUACCUUCUUCUUCUUCUAUAAACUAAAAAAAAAAACCCUUAAUAGGCUGUUACCGUCUUCUAAAGCCAUUUUAUUGGACAAUGUAAAAAUGUAAAAUCUUGUUGCCAAGAGGUUUAGCUUACCUUCUUCUUCUUCUAUAAAAUUAAAAAAAAAAAAAAAAAAAAACUUAAAAUAGAGAAAUGUAAGUGGAGAUGCGGGUAUCGAUCCCCACAUCUCUUGCAUGCUAAGCGAGCGCGCUACCAUCUGAGCUACAUCCCCGGACAACAACUUGCGCUCUUUGCAGUUUUUAGAAACGAAACUCUAAAUAAGGGAGGAAUAGGUAGUCCAAGAACGUAUAUGCAUGCUUGUUCAACCCCAUGCCACUUGUGCUUAUUUCUCAACAAACAAAAAAAAUCGAGACGUGAUUAGUGAAUCGGCACUUGAUAGUUUGAUGAUGGAAACAGUAGUUCAUAUAUAUAUAAUUCCUUUGCAGGCAACAUACAUGAGCACUGAUCCAGACUAUCUGAGUUGCAAGAAGAAGGAAUGCAAAAAGUAUCAGAAUGGUACCAGUCAAUGUGCAGUGUCCACCUGCAGUGGUUCGUUAACAUUUCAUGUUAUUAACAUCAGAACCGACAUCGAAUUCGUCUUGUUUUCUGGUGGAUUUGAGCUCCCUUGCAUUUUAAAGAGGGCAAACCCUCUGAAAUUUGCCAAUCCAAACAAGCCACUCUAUGGACAUCUCUCAAGCAUAGACUCAACUGGAACAGCGGUAAAUAAAUUGUGUCAUAUUCUAGUUUGUGUCAAGCAAUGAUCGAAACCCAAGUUGAAAUAGUUAUUCUCUGUUGUAAGUUUGUGACUAUGAACUUGGAUAGCAUAUAGCUAGCUAGUUCUAAAAGAAUGAGACAUGACUUGUUAUGCAGAUGAAAUUAACAUGGGUCAGCGGAGAUGAUAAACCUCAGCAAGCACAAUAUGGAAAUGGAAAAUCACAGACUUCAGUAGUUACCACAUUUUCACAAGAUGAUAUGCAGAGUGAGUUCUCAUUGUUUUACUUCUAUAAAAAUAAUGUUUCUAUGGAGACAUGAGUAUUAUCACAUAUAUAUAUGAGGUAAAGUUAGAAUUGCUUACCCUAUGUGGUUUCUAAACUUUUCAUCCCUUCUAAUUAUUUCCUUUCACUAAUUGAUAGGUUCAGUCGCUAUACCAAGUCCAGCCAAAGACUUUGGGUGGCAUGAUCCAGGCUUCAUUCAUUCAGCAGUGAUGACAGGACUUAAGCCUUCAUCUACCUUCUCUUAUAGAUAUGGAAGGUACAAUAUUCAUAUCCAACCUCAAAAAUGAUAGAUGAAAAACUCAAAAAAGAAACUGAAAAGUAAGAAAUGUAAGAUUGAUCCUUAAUUGGGGGUUGAAAAAAAAAAUGCAGUAAUUCAGUUGGCUGGAGUGAUCGAAUCCAAUUCCGGACUCCACCUGCAGGGGGAUCUGAUGAACUCAAAUUUGUUGCAUUUGGCGACAUGGGAAAGGCUCCUCGUGAUUCUUCUGUCGAGCAUUAUAUUCAGGUAUAUGAAUUAUGAUGCUUUUCUUAGUACUGCAGAAAUUAGACUAAAAAAUAGUGACUGAUCAUUGUUCUAUCAUUCACAGCAUGCAUGUUUAGUAUAGUAAUUCAACAUGGGUAAAUUAGUAAAAUGAGGGGGGAACAAAGAAACUAACUAGCUGACUAUACAGUACAUUCAUUAUCUUCUACAUACCUUGAAGGGAAAGAAAAAUCCUAUACAGAUUUUUAAUCUUGUGGCAUGAAUAGCCAGGAUCCCUCUCAGUGAUUGAAGCCGUGACAGACGAAAUAAAAUCCGGGAAUGUGGACUCUGUCUUCCACAUUGGAGACAUAAGCUACGCCACCGGAUUUUUAGUUGAAUGGGAUUUUUUCCUUCACCAAAUCAACCCUGUCGCUUCUCGAGUUUCAUACAUGACAGCUAUUGGGAACCAUGAGAGGUACAUGUGCUAUAUAAUAAGACAUGUACAUACAGAUGACUUCAAAUAACAAUGUUAAGUUUUUCUUCUUUACCUAAUUCUAUGCUUGCUGUACACUUUUCAGGGACUACAUAGACUCUGGAUCAGUGUAUAUUUUAGCUGAUUCAGGUGGGGAAGUUGGAGUUCCUUAUGAGACUUAUUUUCCUAUGCCAACGCCGGCAAAGGAUAAACCAUGGUAUUCCAUAGAACAAGGAAGCGUCCACAUCACAGUGAUUUCAACAGAGCAUGAAUGGACUAAAAAUUCUGAGCAGGUAAAGAUGGUUAAGCACUGAUCUAUAGCAUCUUUAUAGAAUUAUAGGGCUAUAGAUCAAGAGUGAAAUGCAGGUAAUUCUACUUCUGGUUUGAUGUUUUUAUAUGCACUUGCAGUAUCAAUGGAUGAAAAAGGACAUGUCUUCAGUUGAUCGAUCUAAAACUCCUUGGUUGAUAUUUAUGGGGUAAGUACUUCAAUGCUUCAAAAACUAUUCUUCAAGUUCAUGUUGUGUUUCUGUAGGAACAUCAUACAAUAUAAAUCAGUUCUUUCAACCAUUGAUUUUGAUAAAUAUCAGUAUUGUAAGUUUAUAACUACUUGAAAGUUUCACCAGAUCUUCAUGCAUAUUAAUAGUUUCAAAUUGCAGGCAUAGACCAAUGUACACAUCUUGCCCUGGAUUCUUGAGUGUUGAUUUAAGAUUCGUUGACGAAGUUGAACCAUUACUUCUGUCAAACAAAGUAACAUCCCAGACCUUCCCCUAGCUAGUAUUGUUUUCUCUUUUAUUUCUCAAUGGAUUCCUUUUUUUCCUUAUCUGGUUUUGUAUUGGAACGUUAUUUUCUCUGCUGACAUGAAUAUAUGCUAUUCAAAAUUGGAACUAGGUUGAUCUGGCCCUGUUUGGUCAUGUCCAUAACUACGAGCGAACCUGCUCCAUUUUUAAGAGCCAAUGCAAGAAAUUGCCUAUCAAAAAUGAGGCUGGGAUCGACUCAUAUGAUCACAGAAACUAUGGUGCCCCAGUGCACGCUAUAAUUGGAAUGGCUGGCUUUUCCUUGGACGAGUUCCCCAGUGAUGUAAGUCCUCUCAUUCUGCCAUAUCACUCUUCAAAUAUAUGCCCAUAAUCAUAGUCAUGUAUGUUCUUCAUUGUUCUUUACAUGGAAUUGGGACUUCAAUCAAACAGAUUAACAAUAGUUGGAGUAUAUCAAGGCGUGCCGAAUAUGGUUAUCUCAGAGGGCAUGCAACAAGGACAGAUAUCAAAUUAGAGGUGAGUAUAUGCAAAAUUGAGACUAAAUUCAUUCACUUCAAGUCUGCCAGAGUUCAGGAACUACAAUGCGCAGAUCACUAAAUUCUCUCACUCGUAUUUUGUUUGUUUCAGUUUGUGAAUGCAAAAACAAGAAAAGUUGAGGACAGCUUCCACAUUACAAAAGCACAAGUUAGAUAGAUUGAGUUCACCUGUGACUACUACAGGUUUUUCUUUAGUAACUAUAAGGCAAUAUCUAUAUUUCCCCAGUUAGGUAGAUAUGUAUAUGUGAUAUGGAAACAAAAGUUAGUACACAGACGAAUAAGUUGUAGAGAACUUCGUCCCUAAAACGUAUAUAUACAGGAAACAAAUUACAUACAAUUUUGAUGCUGGCUAAUCUUUUUCAAAAAUAGUUGGCUGGUCUACGCUUACUCCCUACAUAAUCUCUUAAUUAAGCUGAGCAUUUUGAAGUGCUCUGCAAGCAAUGGCGGAGCCAGAACUUUAGAUUUAGGGAGGCCGAAAUAUAAUAAACGGAAAAAAUAUAUAAUAAUUUUAAAUCGUUUGACAAUAUUAUGUUUUAAUUGAAAAUAAUAUUAUUAUUUUUUUCAUAAUCUUUAAACAUAAUUGUUCGUUGUAAAGCUUCAUUCAUGUCCAUGUAACGACAUAUAUGUGUAUUAAAAAUUUAGAUGUAUGUAAAAUGAUUAGUUAAUACCUAAUUAAUUGUGAUGAUGGAUCCAUAUGGUAAGAGGCAAUGGAAACAUGACAUAAUAUUUUACAUAGAAAGAAAACUAGACCUAUACAAUUAUAAUCAUAACCAUUCAAUCCUACUCGGAAUAUUAUUAAUUGAUAUUUUUCAAAAACUUUAGGGGUGCCGAUUAUAAUAAUAACCAUACAAUCUUACUAAUAACAUAACAUUAAUUGACAUUUUUCAAAAACUUGGGGGUGCCAUGGCACCCCUUGGUCCUAAGCUAGUUCCGCCAGUGUCUGCAAGUUAGUACUUAGGUUGCUUCAGAGAAAAUGGAGCAUAUAAAACUUGCAGUACAGCAAAAAAGAACUAUAUGCAAUUCCAUAUCUUGAAUUUCAUAUAUGAUUGUCCUAGCUUCAUGUUUUUGUUAAAAUCACCCCAGGAACAUGGUUAAAGCCCACAGAUCUAACAGAAGGGUAUUUCCCACGAACUUGAAAGGGUGAUUUUAACUUGCUGACCCUUGCCGACUAUAACACCCAGACUGCUGAAACUUAUCAAAGAUCAGUAGACUAGUUUGAUAAUAGAUAGACUGGCUCAAUACAUAAAUAGACUAAAUUCGAGAGCAAGCCGAGCUGAUCUACUAGUGCAUGAUCUACUAGUCAGUCCUACCUCUAUAUCAAAUGUAGUCUACUUGAUGCAUCAAUACACAUUCUUGUAUUUAUACAAAUUCCUGGUUGUCUAAUAGACACAAAUGGCAUUGUCUGAUAGCGAAAGAGAACAUAGAGCUAUCAUAUUUACAUUGCAAAAUUAGUUCGGGUGCAACAAUGGAAUCAUAGUUUUGACAACGGGAGAUAGAUAUCAAUCAAUGCCCCAAACAAACUGAAAUAUAUUCUUACUAGCAGCAGCAUUUACAACAUUGUUACUCUGUGUUCUAAGCAUCUCCUCCUGAGCAUUAACAUCACCCUCCUGAUAUAAUAAACAUAUGCUUGUGUUAGUACAACGACCAUCAUGGAGUACGAAAAUGUUAUAUAGCAAGUUUAAAGAUGUUGAUAUAGAUAAAAUAAAUGUAUAAUUGGAUCAGUACAAUCAGGACUAAUCAGAUAGAACACAAUGCCUUGUGGACAAGAGUUCCAGUCUUGUAGAGGGUCCGAAAUCAACCAAGACACCACUGGAAAACCACCAAGGUUUUGGUGCAGAAUAAAAUAGGAAGAAAGGCGGUAUUAGAUACAAAUAUUGAACUGUCAACAAAGCUCAAGAAACAAGGAGUCCAGACCCAAAAUUCAACUUUGCCUAAAUCAACUACGCAAUCAAAUUUACAAGUACCUCAUAACAUCUAGCCUCUAAACACGUCAAUAAAGUGAGCACUAUAAUCAUCCAACACUUAGAAUUUACUCUUUUAAUUUAAUUAAUAUAUGCAGUCUUAAGAAUGCAUAUGCAAAGGGUCUUGGAACAUUUAAGCUCUUAAAAGAGCUGCCUCAUUAUUCUCCAAAUUUCAUUGUCCUCAUUUUGAUCUUUUCAGUUUACCCCAACCACAAUAAAAUUUGGAACCUCAUCAAGGGAUGACAAUUACCACUAGAAAUCAGCUGUAAAUUUUCCAAUUCUGCAAGGGAGUGAAGACUUACAAGUAGAGAGUAUUCACGGGCAAGAGAAAAAACUGUUGGGUACAAAUCCAGAACAGCUAUGGCAACUUCCUCAGUCACCUGGGGGACCUGCAUUCAUAAUUCAAUUGUAGCGUGCAUCAUUUUUGCACUAGGAAAUCCUACCUCUCAAAAAUGAUAUCCCCCCCCCAGACAAUAUCAUGAGCAUUGAUUCUAAAACUUAAAGACCAAUCAACCCAUCCUGCAUGGAAGUAUCCAUGCACUACUAUGCAGUUCUAAUGCUAAAGACAGAAUAGUAGAAACAUAGAGGGAAGCCAACACAUCCAGAAUAACCUGCAUUUAUUGACAGAAUAGGAAACCAACACACUUCCACAAUAGGAACGUUGUUCAGAUAUAUUGACAGAAAUGAACCUUUACUUUUAGUGUUUUACAAAAUCCAUAUUUAACUAUCUCGGUGUAUACAAAUAACAUUUAGACGCAGUAUAUAUAAAAGGAACAAAUUUGUAGAAGUGUGGAGUUUUACUUUUUUUUCUAAGCAUACAUUAUAUAUUUGUGUGUGAAUGGAUAACUGAAUAUUGAAUACAGGAUGACUUCCAUGUCCAUGCAAACAGUCCAUACCUGCAUGAGCUGAAUGGCAAAUACGUCACUGACUGUCAUCUUAUCAAGGUCUUGGCACCUUUUGUUAAAUUCAUCAAAAGGAGGACAAACUCCAGCUUGCUUAAGCUGUUCCUCAGAGAGAUCUUUGUAAUAUUUAAAAAUUGCUUCAGUAAGAUAACCGUACUUCCUCAAGGUUUCAGUCACGUUUCCGGUUCUCUGAACAUCAAAGCCCUCCAAGAGUUCGGUUGUGAAGCAACUGCAUAAGAUAUAAAUUUUUUAACAUGGAUUCAAAUAAUACUAUUAUUUUUUAUUUAUCUUUUGAAGGCAUAAAGGAUAAUAAUAAUUAUAACUGUUUAACAAGGAUUCAAUAAUAAAAUAUAAAAUGCUCCUUUCAACUACUAGCACAAAGGAAGAUGAUAUCAGCAAAAUGACAGAUAUGGUCAUAAACUUGAAGCCAAACUGAAAACGCCGUCUGAUAUGUACAUCCAUAUCUACCAAGGGAAAAAGGAGACUAAACUUGCAACAUACAAGGAAUGAUAAAGAGCAAAUUAUAUGUUGCCUACUCUAUGAUUUGUUAAUAACAACUUCAUGAAAAUUAUAUAAGGUGUUAAAGUAUAAAUGUAGACCCAUUUAACCGAACCAGAACUAGCAAUACUAUCAAUUUUUAACUAAGACUUCAACAAUCUGCCCACUUCAGCGACCAUAAUGGAUUACCCACACGAGAAUUAAACACAAUGUUUGCUGUUUUGUUUGCUUUUUCUCAUAAGAAAAAUCUAAUUUCCACACAAUAAAAAGUUUAACAAUAUCAAGAAGGAAAAUACAAAACAUUCUGAAACCAACUUUAGAUGUUCAUGGUCAAAAAGCUUUCACCGUAAUAUUAUAUAUGAACAUGGUGCUUCAAUUUGAACAUCUGAAGUUUGAGAUUGGCUGAAUUUUUCAAGGGAUUACAAAGAUUGAAUAAUAGUAUAUGGUGCUGAGUCUAUGAUGUAUACCAGGCCCAAAGCAUUUCUUUGCGGUUUCAUUGCAGAAACUGUACAUCUCAAACAACUAAAGCACAGCAAACCAAUUGCAUGACGAUGACUGAAAGCAUUUAAUUAAGCUGAAAUGGCAUCUGCUUUGGUAUGAUGGACAAAUUUUUUAUUUUUUAUUCUUCUGUGCAACUCCUUUUUUUGUAUCUAAAAUGAUAUAAUAGAGAUUACUACAAAGGCUUGUCUGUAACCUCUUUAUUAAGCUCAGGCCCAGACUGAUGAUUCAACCAAGCCAAGCUCAACCAAAAUAUGAACAAUAAGUAUUCAACCGUCACAAAAUGAACAAUAAUUACACGGGUGUUGGUCAUACUGAAAAACAAGGUCUAAGAAAAAUUAUUAUGUAGUCACAAAUUGAUUUCUUACUUUACACACGAUAUUCAAUUUAAAUAGAAGUACCUAUAAUCAAGUAGGAAAACUAUAGCCAUAAAAAAAAAUUUAAAUAAAUGCUUACGCUGUUUUGAUGCUUUCUGCUGCUUCACAAGAAUUUGGAUCACCUUCCACGAGAUAUAUCAGCUUCUUAAGUCCACACCUCUGAUAAUAAGUAAAUUAGGGUGUCAGGAUCUAGUAAAAUAACAUUGCCUAUAAAGUUCAAGACAACACAACUACACAAACAUUUCCAUUCCAAAAAUCUCAAAUGUUGAUCCAAAAACCAACUUUAAACAAGAUACUCAAUGUCAACCAUAGCUUAGCUCCUACUUCACAUGCUGAUAAAGAUGAUUAAAUCUAUCAAAUAAAUUCCAUACCAAAAGUCUGAGUUUUUGGUCCCUGUAACGGUUGUCUCUGAUUGAACAGCGUAAAUCAUCAACAUUCUUCCUCUCAACAAUAAAAUCAAGUACAUACUCACUCUGAAGACGUUUAUGCCGAGCUAUCCAAAUCCCAUCUCCAACUGGUAACCGCCUAACCUGUAAAAGUGUCAGUUUGUUUCUUACUAUUUACUUUGUAAAUAAGAAUUAGGAAACUCAUCCUUUAAUGCUUCAUAGUCUAGGAUGGUUUUCCUACUUGUAAAAGCAGAUUACUGAAUCACCAUUCAUUCUAACUUCAUGGUUUUUUUUUAAGUAUUCAAGGAUAAAUUUUGUAAUGAUCUUGAAUAUGAACUAUGAUUGCAUUACUGUAAAUGGUUAUAACACAAGACAAUGAUCCUCUUUCCUAGAUUCUUCAUUAUUUCAACCUUAAUAUAUAUUGUUUAUAUUUCAUGCAAAGAAAUAAACAAGUGACAGAAGGCAAAACCAAAAGUUGCUAUUUUUGUGAAACAGAAUUUUGUGGAAAUCAGUACAAUUUUCCAAUAAUAAAAAAUUUAACAUAAUAAAGAACAAUAAGUCAAUAACUUACCUGUACUGUGAUUUUGCAUCCAGAUAUAACACUCUCAAUAAUGCUCCUAGACCGUGAUCUAAAACAACAACAUACAAUUAAUCACACCAGUUAUAAGCACCAGCAAAGACAGUGGGCAAAAGAAUAGGAGUGCACAAUACCCAUGAUAAAUAAAAAUCUGACAGUAAGCAUAAUGAGACAAAAAUUAUCACUACUUAGCAGAUGGCUUUCAGACUAACAUUAAGGCCCCUCAACAUUUUUUUUUCUCGUCACUAAAGUACUAUGUCAUUUAUCUGAAUGAGAUCCUUGGACUAGUUGAUUGGUUCAAAAAUAUCCUUAGCAAAUGGAGAUAUGUACAGCUUAAACCGUACAACCCCACAUCUCAUGUUUUAAGCUCUACGUUUUUGGAAACUGACCAUCAACAUAUAUCAUGAAAAUUAAAAAAUACAACCAUAUGGCUUACUUGGUCUGCAUUUUUUAUUUCUGUAAAUUAACCUGUUUAAAGAAGUAAAAAGUAUAUAUAACAACAGGAAAAGAAGGUUUCACCCUCAAUCUUUUUUGUUUCAGCACAUGUAAUUUGAUAUAGUAGAGAUAGAGUAUUGCUGGCCUGUAGUCAUCCCUAACUAAGACAAACGGACAAGUGCAAGCAAUGGUUCUACAGUCAGGUUGCUAAAAAGAGUAUUUAUUGAAUUGACCACAACUGGCUUGAUCAUAUAAAUAAUAAGAAGUUUCAGAAUAAAAUUAAGCAGAUGCUACUCACAUCUGAGUGGCCAAUUGUUCUCGAUCAUCCAAUACAAAGAUUAAUUCAUAUGCAUCUUCAAAUUUCUCCCCAAAGCUUAAAGGUGGCACGGACAAAGCUUUCAAACUUGCUUCAACACCGGCCAAACUAGACUUUGUCACAGGACAACUCUAAGAAAACCAGAAAGCCAAUGAGCAACAUAAAACAAUAAGUAGUGUUCAAUAAUCUUGCAACAAUUGACAUUCAAAUAUAGAAAAAAAAGCUUUAUAACCACCCUAUUGUUCCAUUUUACAAAUACACCAACCAUAAAUUCAGCUAUGGCCCCUAUAGUAGUAUUUUUAGUGCAACUGCACUAUUUUGGCACAUUCACUUUGACAGGAUCAUUUUCAGAAGCAUAAUAAUACAAAGACAGCAGCAAAUUUUAGAAACAAAUGGUCCAGCUCCAAAGAUUCUAUGUCUCAGGACACAGGGUUCGGCACCAUAGGCAUAGGGCUGAAACCUGAAACUCUACCAGUGACAUAUGGAGGUGCUAUAUUCACUUAAGAUUGAUCCAUCCUACUUAUUACUACACUAAAUUUUGGGUCAGUUACAUUCCGAUCCAAAACUUCUACUUUUAACAAACAGCAACCUAUUAGUCAAUUGUAAAACUUUUGACCUCAACCCUUUGAAGAUCAGUUUGAGUUAAGUAAUUACAUAGUUGUAAAAAAUAAAAAUACACAAAUUACCUAUAUGACACCUAUAAAAGCUCCUCCCAGUUUUGGCAGUAUUGGUUUAAAGAAUGUAAGCCAUUCAUGGGUUGAUGAUUGGACUGAUGAUCAAGUGCUGAAGAUACAAAAAUUUUACAAUUUUGAACAGUCAGUUGCAAUGUCUUAAUUCUAUACUUAAGAGUAGGGGUAAAAUAAAAUGACUCUAAAGCACAAGAAUAACAGUUUUUAGCCCUAACAGUGUAACUCUCAUUUGCCCUCUACUCCUCUAAAAGGAAGAAAGAAAAACAUACAAGAAAUGAAGGAGCUCCCAUCGUAGACGACUUUGAUGCAACCUUGUCAGAAUUUAUCUUUCGUGUAGGACCUCCAUCCCGAGAAGUGUUGGGCGGUCUACUCUCACUCCCUACACAUUCUCUAUCACCUGAAAAAAUUAAGGAGCUGUAUUAGAGAGUAAUCCAUUAUUUAAGAGAAGUCGGGCAAUUUCAAAAGCAUUUGGCACCACAAGAGAAGCUUAUUACCAUUUCCAAGAAUAUGAGUGGACGAUGUUGCCUGACGAUUUCCCCUUACGCUUUGGGACUUCAUGUGCAAACCAUAAACCUCAUCUUCUCGAAGGCGACAAAGAACUGAUGGCCAUAUUGAAGAGAUUUCCUUGAUAUGGGAAGUCUCUGAAGCUUCACUAAUAGCUCGGUUGAUUCGCUCCUCAGAAUACCCCAUGUGUGUAAACUAAAGAAAAAAAAAUGAAUUGAGAGAAAAUUUCUGAUCAAUUAAGUGAAACUAACAGUAAAGGGCUCUAUGACCAAAAGAAGCAAAAGGCUGCAAUAAUUCAUGUAUAUCUUAGGGUCAAAUUCAAUUGAAAUUGUAAAGACAAAAUGCGAAAAGAUCCGUAUCAUGUGAAUCUUUCUUAAAUCUCAAUAUACUUGAACACAAAGAAAAAUGAGUAGAUAUGAGCACUUAAAAAAGAAAGAAGGCGCAGAUUAAUUUUACUGUGCUUGUUUAUCUAAAGCAUAGAUUUUUGGGAUCAACUACAACUAUUACCUCGUUUUUCAUGGACAAUCAAGAUUAAAAAUAAAGUGACACUAUCAGCAGUUUGUCGACCACCCUCACAAAAAACAAAAAAAAAAAACAAAAGAAACAGAAAUUUAAAGUACCAUUGACUAUUCCAAUAUUUUUGUUUCUAAUCUUUGGGAGUAGCACAGUCAAAUGGGGUUUCUAAUGCCUGUGAAUGUCUUUAUUUACUAUUUCUAUACUUAUCCAUCACAAAUAUCCAUUGCAUCUGCAGUCUGAAAGCUAGGGAGAAAUCAAACUCUUUAUUCUCAUUCAACUGAUCAAACAUAACUUAAUCCAGCUCAUAGGUGUCAGUGCAGAACUUAUAAUUUUCUUUGCAAAGAAAAGCAACCGUAUCGGCUUAUAAGCAAGCAGAACAGAGGCCAUGACACGACAGGAUAUUGUGGACAACAACGUAAACCGUAUGAGGGAAGAUGCCAACUAAGCCAAGCUACUGAGAUACAAUCUUAACUUAUAAAUUAAACUAUGAAAGAAUGGUACUGAGAAGUAAAUAUUAAGUAUGAAAAUGGAAACAGAUUAUGGUUCCCGGCUACAAUUCAAGAUAAUAAUGAAACAUCAUUUUGAUAAAUACCUUGUCAAGAUAUUCCUGUGGAAUAUCAAUUGAGUUUUUAUUCCUACUUGAAUUACAGGAGAACAAUGUCAGAUCUGUGACCGAUUCAGGACUAGAAAGUUCCUGACGUGAAAUGUCAACAUCCAUGAUAGACAACUCCUUGGCAUUAGAAAUUAUUUCUGCAGGAGUCGCCAAACCAGAUCUCAUGAGACAUUCACGAGCAGCCUCCUUACCUUCUUGAGUAAGCAUGUACCUACAGUUUGUACAAGCAUUAUAUACCUGAUAAUAGUGCAUAUAUGAUCAAGUGAAACUCUAGAAUAUUGAGGUCUAAGUGCAUAAAAACUUGCUUGAUACAUGAUUUCUCAGCAUUCAUUUAAGAGAAGAAGAGUAAAAAAUCCUGCUGUAACUAACUUGAUCACAAACAAGGUUCCAGCUCUUAAUCAAUUAUUUUCCAUAAGCUAAUUAAGAACUUAAGUACCUUAUACCUAACAACCAAACAUGUGUGAAUAAGCCUCCAGACAAAACAUGCUUUGAUUAAACAGAAUCAGACUAAGACUCAUCAACUUUAAAAUAAACUGCACACUAUAGUUGAGCCGCAAUUCAUCAUUUAAAUCAAAGUAUAGCUUUCCUACUAGAUUAUUUUCUAGAAACAAAUGCUUUCAUAAGUAAAAUAUAUGUAUAAAUAUACAUACAUAUAUAAACAUUUUAAAGAAAAAAAAAAAAAAAAAAAAGGUGUAUUAAUUUCUAGUUAGCAAAUAAUGUAAUGUAAUGCUCCCUAAAAUUUUACUCGGAGGAAGGGUACAGCUCUAGUCAUUAAAAUUUACAAAUUUCAGAAACAAAAACUGGUUUAAGAUAAAUACAUAAUAUCUUUUCAACAAAACAAAACAAGAGAAUGCAAUGUACGAUAAAAGCCAUACUUUGCUGGGCAACUUGAUUUCACAACCAGUCCCUUGGUUAGUAAUGUCUUCAUGCAGGACCAACCACUAUACCAUUCCCUUGUAGAAUUUCUGGGGUGUGCAGGUAUUCCCUUUCCCUUCUCUGGCCUAAGAACAACAAAUUGGGUCUCAACGCCAUGCACACGUAACACAAGUGGAAACAAGUUACAAGACACUAAUAUAAUGUAAUAAACAUACAUGAUUGGCACACGAGAUAGUCCACUUGCUUCUGCUGCAUCAAUGAGCUCCUGUUUACGCAUGAAGUCAUUCCCACUUUCAGUUCCCCUGAUGAAAACUCAUUGUUAACUCCAACUUCAAAGAAUGUGACAAGAAAUUCAAUUACAAAUUACAGCUGAUUUAGUGCUUGGCUAAAUAAAAACCCAAUUUACCUGUAAAGUGUUAUCAGUAAAGCAUAUGCUACAGAAUUCUUUUGUGGAACAUAGCGUUUUUUCGUUCUCUUACCUACAAAAAGAACAUGUCCAUAACGGACAACAACAAGAAGGAAUAUACAAUGCAAUCUAUGAAAACAGUGUAAAGCCAAGGAGAUAUGAUAGAAGUACCCUCUUUAGUUACAUCUUCUGGUUCAGAGCUGCCUGAACCGGUGUCAAAAAACCCUUGCAUAAGCUUCAAAAUCCACUUCCCAACACCCCUACACCAGAAUAUGAGCAUUGCAAAAAUCAGUCCACUGUUAUAGAAUGUGAAAAUAAAAAAAUAUUGAUAGAUUUCCAACAAAUAAGAUUUUUCUUGUCCCUGCUUUAUGCAAGUAUGGAUAGCUCACUUUCAUUGUUUUGCUUCCUAUACAAGUUUUGAUAUCUCCCUUUCACUCUCAAGCUUCCUACACAAGUUUUCAAAGAUCCUUUUCAUUCUUUAGCGUCCUAUGUGUAGACCUCUCUAUAUAACUGAGUUAUAGUAGGAUACAAAUAUUCAUAUUGAUCAUGGAACAAUACUAAUUUAACAAAUCAUACAAUCCACACAACUAGUAACAGAAAGUAGAGAACCAAAAACUAAUGAAACUGAAUUCUAAGGUUCGUAUGAACAAUUAAACAAAAGCAUGUGUAAUAUAGUUAAACUUUUAAGCCAAUACAGAAUAAUCUUCGACAAAAACUAAAUGGUAACACCAAUGAAGAUCCAAAAGACCUUUAAAAACUUUAAAACAAGCUUACAACUCACUUGACUUGGGAAAAUUCUUUGAGGGUUUUAACAGGGUUCUUAGAGUUGCAGACAUUGGAGUAAGCCUUAGUCAGAGUCUUCUCAAUGUUUUCGGAGAUUCCAUUGGGCUUCUUGUCGGCCAUCUCCUGCCACUUACUCAACAUGUAAUCCGCCAGUGCUCCAUUCUCAGAGCACACCACCAACCGCUUGUGCUGCUCCAUCGAUACCGAAAAAGAUCACUCUUAUCUGUCAGAUUCAACAGGCAAUGUGCAAAAUUACAUGGCAGGAGAACAUAUUAGUCUCUAAAUGUCCAUUUCUGUUGGUGAAAUGUGGAGUCUUGGUUUUAUGAUCAUCUAUUAUGCAUAUCAAUAUACAAACAUAUGUUUCUUUCUCAUCUUUAUGCAGUCACUAAAACGGGAAGAGCAUGUAACCAAAAGAAAAGGGGGACAAAAUAAAAGUUGCAGAAGUAACUGAUUUUGAAAACAAACUGAAUCAUUUUGUAGUCCAUUUCCAUGAUUUAGUACUAACUUUUUACCCAAAAAUCAAUUGGUCUAGUUACCAAAUCUCCACUUUCUGGUGUUUUGUUUUGACAUUACUGAAAAGUUACAGCGAGGAAGUCUAAUACAAGUAGAUAUGCAAUGUAAAAGACUUAGUAGAAAAAAAAAAAAGAAGUACAUAAGUUUGAUACCCGUGAUGUAACAAAAUUAUGAGCAAUACAUUCCCGAAAUACACAAUCACAAACCCGGCAAUGAAAGCACCCACAUUCAAACUCCAAUAUGAAUUUGUUAACUCUUAGCACACCCCUAACACAAUAUAACACGAUACUAUUUCACCCUGCACUCAUGUUGUGAACUAAGCAGACCAAGUUACGCACUUACGCGAUAAUGUACAUUAUCAAACACCUUUGGCACUUAUACCUUCAAGCUUCAAAUACCAAGUACCAACAGUUAUGUCUACAAAAACUGAGUAUCAAGGAUCACAAAUCAGUCUAGAUGAUUAUUGUACAUCUAAUAAGUAUUUGGUCAUCAUACUACACAGCUAAACAUCAUCAAGCUUGCACCUUUCGAGAAAAAAAAAAAAAAAUCAACUUUAAAAGAUAAUUAGAUUUUUCUGGAAAAAUUUCAUGAUAUUCAAUUUGUUUAUAAGUUUUUCAGUCUGUAGUUAAUAGAACACAAAUCUAAACACCACUGUUGAGUAGUACUAGCUAUCGAAGGCUGAAAUUAACCCACCAAAGUAGCAAACACCGAAACCAAUACCAAAAUCAGAUAACCAAAAAUGCAGAAACCCAAUAGAAAGAGUGAGAAUUUUGAACUGACCUGAACUGGCCUUGUGGAAUUUGAGACCCCAAUUUUGAAUCGGAAGCUUUGUAAAUUUGGGCAAAUCAAAUAUGGAGAAAAAAUGGGCUGCUAUGUGGGUUUUGGAAACGGAUGACAGCGGCUUAUAUACUGGUCCGGUGAAGCAUAAAUAAAGUCAGAAAUCUGGUGAAGCAUAAAUAUGAAAGCAAAGUCAUAAAACCCGGAUAACCGCUUCACUACACAUAAACACGAAUAACCACCCGUCCCCAAAAUGUCGAUUACCAUUCAUAAAACCCAGAUAAUAAAAACAAGCAAAGUCAUAAUCUUGGCCAAAGCAGAGUGAAUUACACUAGUUUAACAAGUGGGUAUUGAAAUAACCCAUGUUUCUGAAAACCCAGUAACAUAAGAAAAUCGAUCACUACCAUAUCUAGAAUUCUCAUAUAGAUCAAUACCCAAAACGAAAAACCAAAUCUUUCGGGGAAAAGCAAAGCAGAAACAAAGAAAUUAACAAGCCCCGAAUAAAACGUACCUGGGGCUAUUCGGUUUUGGGUGGAAUUGGAUGGAACUAGGGUUUUUAGUGAUCAAGAUUGAAGAGGAAGGAAGAGUGAGAAUGACGACGUUUUGGGAGGGAAAGUAGGGGUUUUAAGCCCGCUAUGAAUUUUGAUACCUUAUUUUUCACGGAGGCACCUAUAUAGCAGUGAAGCCUCACCGCCGUUGAGUUAACAGUGCGUGCAUUGCACGCGCCUGUUAGUAGGAAAAAAAGAAAGGAAGGAAAAUGCAUAUUUGCACAUAAACAAAUAUUUUAAAACUCGUUCAAUGAAAAUAAGACUUCAUAACCCAUCUUAAUAAAACUAAGCAAGAGGAUGACAUUGCCCUUGCUACAAUUCAACUAAAUCUCUCUCCUCGUUUCACAUCCCGAUCUAAAUUCUUCUCUCUCUCUCUCUCUCUCUCUCUCUCUCUCUCUCUCUCUCUCUCUCUCUCUCUCUCUCUCUCUCUCUCUCUCUCUCUCUCUCUCUCUCUCUCUCUCUCUCUCUCUCUCAUUGUCGGCGAUGUCUAUCAACGAUGCGGACGACUAUCACCGAUCAGAUCUGGACUCCUAGGAUUCGUUUUCAAGAGCUAAUCUGGGUGUGCGACGUCGCUCCUCGCCACGGUUCUAGAAUCCGGCUUUGAUAGGAUCCGAUUGAGAGAAGGGAGACGAAACGAGCUUAUGGUCUGAGGUGCUAGUGGUCCAACUCAAUCUGCGGGCUACUGGACAUUUUCACCGUCGUUUAGGGUUUUAGUCAUCACGUGUUUGUCGACGAGAGGAGCUUGAACGACAUCGCAGGAGCUAAUCCCUUGUGAGAUCUGGCCUCGCAAUCAUUUUGGAGUCCGAGCGUCGACCAGUACUGGCCUUGCCGGCGGGAAGAGCCGAUGGAGACUCUUUCAUCUACUGUCCCACCCUUCCAUCGAUGUCAGAGAAGAAAUCAGUCGGAAAAUCCAGAAUUUGUAAGUUGUAGAGAUUUCGGUCAAGUUCUUCAAGGGGUAAUAAAGUUUUACUAUGGGUAAUAAAUUUAGGGAAGUUUAUUGCCCCCCAGUAAAAUCUCAGUUGAGGUUUUUUUGGCCCCCAGCAAAACAUUUUUCAUUAUUACUCCCCCUUAAUAAGUUUUUAUUAACCUCAAUAGAAGUUUAUUGCCCCCAAUAAAAUCUCAGUAUAAGUUCAUUGCCCCCUAACAAAACAUCUUUCAUCAUUACUACCCCUCAAUAAGUUUUUAUUAACCUCAAUAGAAGUUUAUUGCUCCCAAUAAAAUCUCAGUAGAAGUUUAUUUCUCCCCAACAAAACAUUGUUCAUCAUUACUACCCCUCAAUAAGUUUUUAUUAACAUCAAUAGUAGUUUAUUGCCCCUAGUAAAAUCUCAGUUGAAGUUUAUUGCCCCCCAGUAAAAUAUUUUUCGUCAUUACUGCCCUCAAUUAAACUUCAGCAAUGGUGCGGUAUGCUUCCGGUAAGGUCUAGUAGAUUCCGGUGACAUUUUUAUAAAUAAAAAAAAAUCCAGCGAGAUUCCCACGAUCAGCGAGAUUCCAGUCACCAUUGACCGGAGUUCGGUGAGGUUUCGGCCCAAUCUUCUCUCUCUUCCAUUUUCUCUCUUUAUGCAUGUUUAAAGGAUGAUGGCAAAAUAGUUCUAAAAUAAUAUUAUUUGUUAAGACUUUAAGUAAAAAUUUGUUUAUUUGGACAUAAAAGAAGCUACCUUAUAUUCAAAUGGGCUCAUGAAAAAGAUUGUCAUUGAAAUGAGCAAUGAGGGGCUAAAAUUAGUACUAAAUGAGCAUUUUCUAAAAAAAAUGACACCAAAUAGAAGCAGCUCGGAGCUGCUGGCCUUAACGGAUAUUCUUUCCCAGAAUUUUAUCACAAAGAUAAUAAAGUGGUUUGCUCCAUGUUUUCUACAAUGCACAAGUAAAUAAAACGCCCCAUAACUUCACAUGCAAUAUGCAACCCUAAGUUUAAAAGUAACAAAAUCUGUAAUGCUAUAAACGUGAACUCUGUAUCCGGAUCCUUAUAUAAACCAUGCAACAGAGUAAUCGGCCCCCAACAACAAAAGCUAAAGCACAAAGAGCUAGCUAGAGGUAUGGAAAUGCUCAAUCUUCGUUUCAUAGCUUUAGCUGCUGUUGCUGUGUUUGGAAUUCUAUUCACUAGUGAACUUGAUGUGGUUCUGGGGCAAGCCGCUUGUCAAGGUGACAUGCAGGGUCUGAUAACGCAAUGUGAACCUUAUGUUAUGAAGGGCAGUUUGUUGCCGCCAACGGGAUCUGAAGGAUGCUGCGCUGCGAUAAAAACGUUAGACAUUCCAUGCGCGUGCCAGCACGUGACCAAGGUGGUCGAGACGGUGGUUGACAUGGGCAAGGUGGUUAAGGUCGUCAGGUCCUGCGGUAUCCCUGUUCCUGAAGGAAUGAAGUGUGGAAGUAAGAUCCCAAAUUAACCUCUUUCUCAUAGCUAUAAUAUACACAACGGAUCUAGUGCCUAAUUUGACAUAUUUAUAGUUGAUAAUGGCUCUCAUAAGUUUGGUUAUUCACUGCAGGUUAUACAGUUCCACCGGGAAGUCGUUAGUGAUCGUAUGUGUAUCAAAGUUAAACAGAGUGCUAGUUGAAAUAAAGACACAGAUGUUCCUGUCGAAAAAUGUAAUCUGAAAAAGUUUAUAUAAAAUCUAUGGAUUAAUCCAAUAUUUACUAUGUUAAUUAGUGAUUGAUUCGUGAUAGCUAGCUAGGUUGUGCACUUGUGCAUGAUGCAAACGAAUUCUCCGUAAUCAUUACAGUACACUUUUGAAAACUGUGAAAAGGGUGGUGUUGAAGGGUACUUGAGAGUUAGCUAGAGUGAGAAAACUUGCAUUUCUUUCUGUAGGGACCCCUUCUAGUGAGGACCCUUAAGAUCAGGACUUGGUGAUAACUUUUCAGUUUAUGGUUUAAAAGACCCAAUUUUCGAUCACAUUUUGACAUCUUAUCCGUUCAGUUUUUAGGUUUAUAUGAGUAGAUUAUUUCUACAAAUUUUCACCCAAAUUGAUGUUCGUUAAGAUAACAAACAGUAGAAAAUAAGGAUUCAAUAUGGUUUGAUAUGCUUCAAUGUAUUAUUCUUCUCCAUAUAGGAGGUUUAUAUAGAGAUACAAUUGUAGUGUUAAUAGGAAAAUAUUUCCUACACCUAUACAUAAUAUUCAACCUACACAUACAAGGAAAGUAAAUAUAUUUAAUAUAUUCUACACUCCCCCUCAAGUUGGUGCAUAGAUAUCGAUCAUGCCCAACUUGCCAACCGAGUUGUCAAACACUUUCCUUGACACUCCUUUUAUGAGAACAUCUGCUAAUUGAUCUUCCGUAUACACGAAAGAGAAACGAAUGAUUUUCCUGUCCAAGUUUUCCUUAAUGAAAUGUCGAUCUACCUCCACAUGUUUUGUCCGGUCAUGUUGAACAGGAUUAUGAGCAAUUUCAAUAGCAGACGUGCUGUCACAAUGCAAGUCCAUGGUUUCUGAGUUGAACCAUUCUUUCAAUACAUUACGAAUCCAUAGCAUCUCACAACUCCAUGUGCCAUACCUNNNNNNNNNNNNNNNNNNNNNNNNNNNNNNNNNNNNNNNNNNNNNNNNNNNNNNNNNNNNNNNNNNNNNNNNNNNNNNNNNNNNNNNNNNNNNNNNNNNNNNNNNNNNNNNNNNNNNNNNNNNNNNNNNNNNNNNNNNNNNNNNNNNNNNNNNNNNNNNNNNNNNNNNNNNNNNNNNNNNNNNNNNNNNNNNNNNNNNNNNNNNNNNNNNNNNNNNNNNNNNNNNNNNNNNNNNNNNNNNNNNNNNNNNNNNNNNNNNNNNNNNNNNNNNNNNNNNNNNNNNNNNNNNNNNNNNNNNNNNNNNNNNNNNNNNNNNNNNNNNNNNNNNNNNNNNNNNNNNNNNNNNNNNNNNNNNNNNNNNNNNNNNNNNNNNNNNNNNNNNNNNNNNNNNNNNNNNNNNNNNNNNNNNNNNNNNNNNNNNNNNNNNNNNNNNNNNNNNNNNNNNNNNNNNNNNNNNNNNNNNNNNNNNNNNNNNNNNNNNNNNNNNNNNNNNNNNNNNNNNNNNNNNNNNNNNNNNNNNNNNNNNNNNNNNNNNNNNNNNNNNNNNNNNNNNNNNNNNNNNNNNNNNNNNNNNNNNNNNNNNNNNNNNNNNNNNNNNNNNNNNNNNNNNNNNNNNNNNNNNNNNNNNNNNNNNNNNNNNNNNNNNNNNNNNNNNNNNNNNNNNNNNNNNNNNNNNNNNNNNNNNNNNNNNNNNNNNNNNNNNNNNNNNNNNNNNNNNNNNNNNNNNNNNNNNNNNNNNNNNNNNNNNNNNNNNNNNNNNNNNNNNNNNNNNNNNNNNNNNNNNNNNNNNNNNNNNNNNNNNNNNNNNNNNNNNNNNNNNNNNNNNNNNNNNNNNNNNNNNNNNNNNNNNNNNNNNNNNNNNNNNNNNNNNNNNNNNNNNNNNNNNNNNNNNNNNNNNNNNNNNNNNNNNNNNNNNNNNNNNNNNNNNNNNNNNNNNNNNNNNNNNNNNNNNNNNNNNNNNNNNNNNNNNNNNNNNNNNNNNNNNNNNNNNNNNNNNNNNNNNNNNNNNNNNNNNNNNNNNNNNNNNNNNNNNNNNNNNNNNNNNNNNNNNNNNNNNNNNNNNNNNNNNNNNNNNNNNNNNNNNNNNNNNNNNNNNNNNNNNNNNNNNNNNNNNNNNNNNNNNNNNNNNNNNNNNNNNNNNNNNNNNNNNNNNNNNNNNNNNNNNNNNNNNNNNNNNNNNNNNNNNNNNNNNNNNNNNNNNNNNNNNNNNNNNNNNNNNNNNNNNNNNNNNNNNNNNNNNNNNNNNNNNNNNNNNNNNNNNNNNNNNNNNNNNNNNNNNNNNNNNNNNNNNNNNNNNNNNNNNNNNNNNNNNNNNNNNNNNNNNNNNNNNNNNNNNNNNNNNNNNNNNNNNNNNNNNNNNNNNNNNNNNNNNNNNNNNNNNNNNNNNNNNNNNNNNNNNNNNNNNNNNNNNNNNNNNNNNNNNNNNNNNNNNNNNNNNNNNNNNNNNNNNNNNNNNNNNNNNNNNNNNNNNNNNNNNNNNNNNNNNNNNNNNNNNNNNNNNNNNNNNNNNNNNNNNNNNNNNNNNNNNNNNNNNNNNNNNNNNNNNNNNNNNNNNNNNNNNNNNNNNNNNNNNNNNNNNNNNNNNNNNNNNNNNNNNNNNNNNNNNNNNNNNNNNNNNNNNNNNNNNNNNNNNNNNNNNNNNNNNNNNNNNNNNNNNNNNNNNNNNNNNNNNNNNNNNNNNNNNNNNNNNNNNNNNNNNNNNNNNNNNNNNNNNNNNNNNNNNNNNNNNNNNNNNNNNNNNNNNNNNNNNNNNNNNNNNNNNNNNNNNNNNNNNNNNNNNNNNNNNNNNNNNNNNNNNNNNNNNNNNNNNNNNNNNNNNNNNNNNNNNNNNNNNNNNNNNNNNNNNNNNNNNNNNNNNNNNNNNNNNNNNNNNNNNNNNNNNNNNNNNNNNNNNNNNNNNNNNNNNNNNNNNNNNNNNNNNNNNNNNNNNNNNNNNNNNNNNNNNNNNNNNNNNNNNNNNNNNNNNNNNNNNNNNNNNNNNNNNNNNNNNNNNNNNNNNNNNNNNNNNNNNNNNNNNNNNNNNNNNNNNNNNNNNNNNNNNNNNNNNNNNNNNNNNNNNNNNNNNNNNNNNNNNNNNNNNNNNNNNNNNNNNNNNNNNNNNNNNNNNNNNNNNNNNNNNNNNNNNNNNNNNNNNNNNNNNNNNNNNNNNNNNNNNNNNNNNNNNNNNNNNNNNNNNNNNNNNNNNNNNNNNNNNNCCAAACAAGAGGCACGGACAACUUCAAGCAACUGUCCGUAUUUUUCCUCUCUGCCAAUCCAUUUGUUGAGGAGUAUAAGUAUUUGAAGUCUGAUGUCGAAUUCCAUGUAACUUCAUAACUCUUGCAUAUGACCAUUAAUAUAUUCUCCGCCAUUGUCAGACUGGAAAACUUGAACAUCCUGUUGAUACUGUGUGGACACCAUCUUGUGAAAUUCUUUGAAUCUAGAAUAAACAUCACUCUUGUUUUUCAAUAGAGACACCCAAGUCGUACGGGUACAAUCAUCAAUAAACGUCACAAAAUAUCGGGCGCCAGAGAGAGAAGGAAUUUCUGCAGGACCCCACACGUCAGAGUGAAUCUUCAUAAAUGGAAUAAAACUUUUAUUUAGGCUUGGUGAAUAUGAAAUACGGUGGCUCUUGGCUAGUUCACAUAUGUCGCAAUGAAAAUCUGAAUAGUUGACACCCGAAAAUAAUUGCGGUUGCAGCUUCUUAAGAUAACCGAAGUUUAGAUGACCCAACCUGCGGUGCCAAAGCCACACACCUUUCUUCGCACUCUCAGCUCUAUUGACCUGAUUAGCUUGACCCAAAGACUGCAUAUGUUUCUCUCCUGUCUCUGUUAGAUCUAGGUAGUACAAUUUCCCUUUUCUCACUCCAUAACCCAAAAUCCGCCGUGUCAGAAUGUCCUGAAAUACACAGAAAGACGGAUAAAAGGUGACAAUACAUGAUAAUUCUUGAAUGAUUUGGUCAACUGAGAGAAGAUUGUAUGACAAUGAAGGGACGACUAAUACAGAAUCAAGGGUUAAUGUGUUUGAUAGGACAAUAGAGCCUUCUCCGGUAACCAGAGUUGGAGUACCAUCAGCAAUAGAAACAAUAUUUUGAGAGGAGGGUUUUAAUUUUUUUAAGAGGCUAGGAUCAUUACACAUGUGAUCUGAUGCUCCUGUAUCAAUAAUCCAGGACCUAUUCAUAGAUACCUUACCACUCAUACCUGACUGUGUGACAUUGGAGGCAUUGGAUGGUUGGUCUUCCUCUGUAGUGGUUAUGACAGUUUUUGCUUGAUUCUUUCGGGGUUUCAGGGUGAAAUCCCACCAAUUCGGGUACCCAAUUGUUUCAAAGCAACGUUGCUUGCUAUGACCUAAUACUCCACAUAGCGGACAUUUUGAGUUUGCAUAUGAAUUUGGUUUGCAUGGAGACCGGCAUGGUGUGGUGGUAUGGUAGUUGAUUUGGUGUGCCAUUUUGGAGGUUUGGUUUUUGAGAUACAAGGAUUCGGGAAUUAUGAUUUUGUUUGUAACGAUUUGUUUGUAGUGUGAUUCGGGAUUCAGGUUUGGUCUUGGGAUUUGAGAAUUUGUGUGUGAUUUGUGAGAUUUUUGGUACGCAGCGAUUUGUGGUGUUUUGGGUGUAAAUUGAAAGGAUCGAACCUGGCAAGCUCUGAUGCCAAGUAGAAAAUAAGGAUUCAAUAUGGUUUGCUAUGCUUCAAUGUAUUAUUCUUCUCCAUAUAGGAGGUUUAUAUAGAGAUACAAUUGUAGUGUUAAUAGGAAAAUAUUUCCUACACCUAUACAUAAUAUUCAACCUACACAUACAAGGAAAGUAAAUAUAUUUAAUAUAUUCUACACAAACUAGAUCAGAUUAAUGGACAAACCAAAUCUGUCAAAUAUGAACCGUUCAAGUUCAUAAUUGAUAAAUCACACUUAUGAAUGUCUUAACAAUUUUUCAAUAUAGCUGAAAAUUUGAAAAAAUGAUCUACUCAUAAAUAUCUAUAAACUGAACGGUCAAGAUGUAGAUAUAAGAUCGAAAGGUGGGAUAAGCCGAAAAGUCCUCAUCAAGUCCUCAACUUAAGGGUUCUCACUAGAAUGGCUUCCUCUUUCUGUAUGUGGCAAAUCCAAUACUCCAAUAAGACUUGGAUUUCCAUCAAAUCCAAAUCGCGUCACUUUGAUGGUUGGCGCGGAGGAUUAAUUGGAGGGGAAGACGACUAAUUUUAACUAAAAUUAACAGAUACAAUAAAAUAGACGUGACUACAAUUAAGAAAAAAAAAAAAAUAAUAUAUAUAUAUAUAUAACAAGAAAAACAAGCUAUCAUAAGCAAAAGCUAGUUGGAAAGCCAAGAAAUGCACUGCAUAUAUCAAUUCAACAACAAAACUGUAGUAGUAAUCGUAACCAUGAUCAUAAUUGUAACUUAGGAGAUGAGGAUUAAAUUUGUUUUUCAUUUUUUCUUUUUAUAUUAAUGUCGCUUCUUCUAAAAAACCCAGAAUUUUUUUUUAAAAGUUUGCCGAAGAAAUCAUAAUUUGUGUGUGCUUAGUCAACCUAGGAAUAUAUUAUCUAGUUGAAGGACAAUAUAGCAGACUUGUUAAUUUUCAACGAGGAGUCGAGGACAAUGUACGUAGCAGAUUUGUUCAUUAAGUCGCUGCCUAAAUCCACAUUGGAGAAGCACGUUAGGAGCAUUGGUUUUGCUUAAGCUAAUAUGAAAUCCCAUGUAGUCAUCAAGGGAAUUAUAUAUACAUCCCUUUGAUUUGACAAAAGAGUUUCUAUUCAUACCUCCAAAAAUAUUAUUUGGACCCCUCUACUUAAUGAACCUCUACCCUGUAAUUUACUUUUACAUAAAAUUAAAAUGCUAUUUACACCUCCCUAGUUUUUUCAAAAAUAUCCAUUGUUCAAUAAAUACAAUAAAAGAUAAACCAUUAUAUAAAAAAUACAAUUUGAUUAAAAAAAUUAAAAUAUUUUCUGAAAAAAUAAAGUGAUUCAUAUAUAUAUAUAUGAUUUUUCUCAGCUGCGGACGUUCGCACCAAUGGUUUUGGUGCGGAUUUCCAUUUUUCCACCACUUUUCGAUCGAAUUUCCUCAUCUUCACCGUCUAGUAUCUAGAUAAUAUUGUGUAGAUUAUCUCUGGAAAAUUUCAGUCAAUUUGGUAAUCGUUAAGGCCCUAAAACUCGAAAAACAAAUAGACGGACUGAAUUUUGUCCGGUUCAUGUUUAUACUAGAAAAACACAAUUUUGAGGGCUUAACGAUCACCAAAUUGGCUGAAAUUUUACAGAGAUGAUCUACACAAUAUUAUCUAGAUACUAGACGGUAGAGAUGAGGAAAUUCGAUCGAAAAGUGGUGCAAAAAUGGAAAUCCGCAUCAAAACCAUUGGUGCAGACGUCCGCAGCUAAAAAGGGCUAUAUAUAUAUAUAGUGUUAAUACACAGACCAAAACACUUGGCCAUGCCGAGAAUGCAAGAUCAUUACCCACUCGCCGGAAGCCAUUCCGGCCAAGCCAUCACCGGCAAACUUGCCACGGAUGCCCAAAGAGUGGGAGCAUAACAAUAACAUGCAUGCCGAACCCACUCUGCAAUAGCUAAACAGCCCUGAAAGGGAAGAGACUGAACAGUACCACAAAACAGUCCCACAUCGGGGACUAACCAUAAAACCCCCAAUACAAGCCUAUAAAACAGGCACGAACUCCUAGAAAAUGUAAGUUCCACUAUUCCUCCCAUCCUCCCGUACUAUACAAGUAGCAAUCAAACGCUGACUUAAGCAUCGGAGAGUCGAAGACUGGGCCAUCCCAGUCCCGACUCCUGACGUGUUGUUACUUGUGCAGUUACAAGAUUCGGAACCAAGGAUUCGACCUCCCGUCCCGUGCUCUCGGAAGAGGUAGAAACAAUUGGCGCUAGAAGGAGGGGCCCCUCUUGUGGAACUCCCACCUAGCUUCGCAGGAUGGUGGAAAUUGUGGAUGACCCAAACGAACCCGAAACCCAGAUAGAAAAAGAACUUUUCCAAUCUGGGGACACAUCCCAAAACCAAACUACCAUUUCCACGGCUCCCAUUAACCACCCCGAUGCCACCACAGCCCUCGAAAUUUUGAAAAAAGACUUCCACGCGUUCCGAGAGUAAGUAGACAAAGAAAGGGCGGAAGUUGACGCGUACCGGGUCCGUAUCGCCGAACUAGAAAAAGAACAAUUCCUACUUCGCGCGACCCUGGAUCACCGCAAUAGCUAUAAUGAUACUCUGGAAUGGGCGGCACGAGUCACCCCCACCCCCGACGCAACCCUGACAUCCCUGUUUCCUAGCCAAGGGCAGAAUAGUUCCGCGGUCCCGGGAGGCCCCAACCAGAUCAUUUACGUCACCCAUCCACUAACCCACCAAUCAUUUCCACUCCCAGCCCCCCAACCAUCUGCAAUCAAUAAUGAGUCCAUCCCCCUGAUAAACCAACCUGAGCCACUCAUUACUAAUCCCAACUCUACCAACACUGCUACCUCGUCCCUCGACAUGCAAACCCGACUCCUCCUCCAACUCAGCAAUUCAGUCACUCAGCUAGCCUCACAAAUCGAAGGAGUUGAGAGUCGCGGGAGUCAACGACCCCUCUUCUCAGGUUAUGGACAUCGCCCAAGCCCCUUUACACCACGCGUACAAGUGGAAAAGAAACCACCCGAGGCCAAACCCUUCAAAAUAGACAAAUAUAAGGGCACCAACGACCCUCACCUUCACCUUGAAACAUUCCUCUCGUUAUGAAGUUCCACUCAGUACACAGAUGCUAUAGCCUGCCACGCCUUCCAAGAAACCCUUUCAGAUGAAGCACUUAGUUGGUUCCUUAACCUGCCUCCCAACUCCAUUGACAAUUUCGACCAACUCUCGGAACGCUUCCUCAACCGCUUCAUACUCCAUGCCAGCAUCUACCGCAGUGUGGAUGCCUUGUUCCACAUCAAGCAAAAAGAGGGGGAAGGCCUCCAUGAGUUACUGUCCCGGUGGCAAUCAGCCACGACACACUGCCAUAACUUGGAGCCCCGGGUCGCUGAACAAGCUUUUCGCCAAGCCUUACUUCCCGGCAGCUUCCUAAUGGAGAUUAACAGGAACCCUCUAGGGUCAUACGAUGCCUUGAUGGACCUUGCUGUCCGCUAGGCGCGUGCCGAGUUUGCCACCUUUGGGCAUUCCAACCUAACUACCACAUUAGCACUCCCAGCCCCACCCCUCAAGUAGCAACCCCAACAAAAGUAUGACCAUUAUGACCGAGGACAAGACAAAAGCAAGCAGCAUAGCAAUUCCCGUGACAGCAACCACGGGCGCAGUUCAGACCGUCGCCAUGGGGGGCAACGGGGACAGGACCAUCCUUAUCGGCCCCGGGAGCAGAGCCCCCAACAGCAACAACGUCGCUCCCCACCACCUCGUUACGAGGUCCACACAGCCCUAACCACUACAUAUGAGGAUAUAUGGGCCAGACACAAAGAUCUCAUUCCCCUGCCACCUAAGAGCAAAUAUCCAAAAAAGCCUCGGCGCGCAAUAGGGAACAAAUAUUGUGCUUAUCAUAAUGACAACGGCCACACCACUGAGAUGUGCCAUGGCCUCUGCAAUGUCGUAGAACACUUGAUUCAUAACGGCCAACUCCAUCAGUACUGCACUCCCGCCACGGGAGCCAAUGCUAUUGAAGUUCAUGGUCAAAUCUUAACCAUACAUGGCGGCGCCCCGCAACCCCCUCCUCGUCAGCCUUCGGCAAAAAGGCAAUGCACGAGCCACUUUGAAAUUCUUGAACUGCAAAGAGGUGUCACCACCACCCCAUCAGCAUGGGACCAGGUGACAUUUUCCAAGAAGGAAGAUACGAUCAGUUGCCAUCACAAUGAACCCUUCAUAAUCAAUGUCCAAGUGGAUCACUACAGGUGUCAUAGAGCCCUCGUGGACACAGGCGCCGCGGUCAGCGUCAUGUUUGCCGAUUGUUACAGAGGACUCCGGUGUGACCGAGCUAAGUUAUAUAACAACCAUGAUCCCCUUGUCAGCUUCUCCGAAGAGAUUGUGCAACCCUUGGGCUCAGACCGCUUGACAGUGUCAGUAGGGGCCAACCCCUACCGUACUUCCAUAACAGCACAUUUUCUCAUAGUCGAUUGCCCCUCCUCCUACAACCUCAUCUUGGGUCGCGACAACCUCUGGGGACUGCAAUGUUUCAUUGCAGGUCACAUGCUACUUAUGAAAGUGCCCACUCUGGGAGGCAUACUCACAAUCCAAGGGGAUAGAGCUGCCAUUGAACAUUGCCAUCUUAAUGCCAUCCAACAGGGACGAGGGGCCUAUGAGAUGUUGCCACUUAGCCCCUUAGAACCCAUUGAUGACCCCAGGGACGACCUUGAAGGAAAAGACAAGAAGCAGGCCCCGAGACCUAACCCGGCAGAAGACACAUAAUGGGUAUCCUUGUCGCCCAGUGCCCCCGAGAGGAAGGUCCGCAUCGGCACAAGCCUUAACCCGGAACUCUGCCACAAGCUCAUUGCAUUCCUCCAAGAUAAGCAAGCAGUUUUUGCCUGGUCCUAUGCUGACUUGCUAGGUAUCUCCCCCGAUGUCAUCACGCACAAGCUUAACAUACUCAAAGACCAUCCCCAUGUUAAGCAAAAACGGCGUGCCUUCAACCUGGAAAAGUAUCGCGCCAUCCAGGCCGAGGUCCAGCGGCUAAAAGAAAUCAAGUUUAUACGUGAGGUCUCAUACCCAACAUGGGUUUUCAAUGUAGUCAUGGUCCCCAAGCCUAACAACAAAUGGCGAAUGUGUGUUGAUUACGCUAACCUCAACAAAGCCUGCCCCAUGGACAGUUUCCCCUUGCCAUGGAUUGACCAGCUAGUUGAUUCCACAGCCGGUUUCAAAAUGCUUAGCUUUCUGGAUGCCUACUCGGGAUAUAACCAAAUCAAAAUGCACCCCACAGAUCAAGAACACACUACUUUUGUCACGGAUAAAGGACUGUAUUGUUACGAAGUCAUGCCCUUUGGCCUCAAGAACGCAGGAGCAACUUAUCAGAGGUUAGUCAAUGCCAUGUUCGAAGAAGAAAUUGGGGAAGUCAUGGAAGUCUACGUAGAUGACAUGCUGGUCAAAAGCAAGAUAGCUGACGACCACAUUGCCAACUUAGACAAAGUAUUCACUAAGCUCCUAGCUCACAGGAUGCGCCUCAAUCCUCAAAAGUGCAUUUUGGCUGUUAGCGGUGGAAAAUUUUUAGGUUUCAUGGUCAGUGAAAGAGGUAUUGAAGCUAACCCAUAAAAAGUACAAGCCAUACUUGACAUGACCGUCCCAAAGACUCGGAACGAAGUCCAGUGCCUCACGGGACGUUUGGUGGCCUUGGCACAUUUCAUCUCCCGCCUCACAGACAAAUGCAACCCAUUCUUUCAAUUGCUAAAAACUCAGUACAAGGAAAAUGUGGCGUGGGGCCCGGAACAUGAUGAUGCCUUCAAUAAUAUCAAAGCCUACCUUGCGGCGGUCCCUCUUCUCUCCAAACCUGUCCCAGGAGAGGUACUGUACUUGUAUCUAGCUGUUUCCGCCACAGCAAUCAGUGCCGCCCUCACACGCCAUGAUCAUGACAACGAGCUCCCGGUGUACUACUGCGGCAGAGGGUUCACCGAUCCCGAGACCCGCUACCCUGACAUUGAGAAAUUAGCUCUAGCCCUCAUCACCGCAGCCAAAAUCAAGCAAUACUUCCAAGCACAUACCAUCCAUGUCCUCACCAAUCACCCUCUGAGGCAAAUACUCCAAAAAUCUGAAACUUCAGGACGCAUGGUAAAAUGGGCAAUAGAAUUAGGAGAAUUUGACCUGCACUUCAAGCCAAGAACAGCCAUAAAAGGACAAGCUGCCGCGGAUUUCAUUGCUGAAUUCAUCCCCAUGAACCCAGACGAUCCCGACCAGGACGUCCACCCCCAGAGCGAAAUUUAGGAACUCCACGUUGAUGGAUCCUCCAACAACAGGCUUAGUGGAGCAGGGAUAAUAAUCACAGACCCAGAGGGCCAUUCUUACGCGUAUGCUCUCCGGUUUGAAUUUAAAGCAUCCAACAACAUAGCUGAAUACGAGGCCCUCAUAGCCGGCAUUCAGCUCUGUCGAGAACUCGGAGCCCUGCACAUUCACAUAUUCAGUGAUUCUCAGCUUGUAGUCAAUCAAGUGGCAGGAGACUUCAAAGCUAACCAGAACAACGUGGGAUCCUACAAAAGUCUAGCUGGCGCCCUCCUACAACACUUCACUUCUUACAAGCUCACCCAAAUCCCAAGGGCCAAGAACUCCAAGGCAGAUGCUCUCGCGAGACUCGCCACAGCACAUCCCGAGUCCGCGCCACCAGAUGUGCACAUAGAAAUCUUGGACAAGCCUAGUAUUUCGAAGGCUUAUUCAGAAAUCUUUGCCAUAGAAACACUUAACCAACCCUCAUGGAUGGAUCCAUAUGUGGCCUUCCUUUUCAGCGGAACCCUGCCCAUGGAUGCACAAGAAGCGCAGCGGUUACGCCACAAAACUUCACUCUACUUGCUUAAAGGAGGGAAGCUAUACCGCCGUGGCCAGUCAUGUCCCCUUUAAAAUGUUUGCCUACAGCAGAAGGGCACAAAGUAUUGAAAUCACUCCACAGUGGAGUCUGUGGAAACCAUGCGGGGGCUCGAAACCUUAUGUUUAAAGCGCUAAGAGCUGGAUACUAUUGGCCAACAUUAGAGCAAGAUGUAAAGGCAGUUGCCCAAGCAUGCCUUCACUACCAUAAAUUUGCAGAUUUUGCCCACCGUCCCCCAGUUCCAUUAUCUGUCAUUAUUUCCCCAGUCCCUUUCAGCCAGUGGGGACUUGACUUUGUGGGGCGGCUACCCCCAGCCCUAGGACAACUCAAAUUUGCUAUCGUCCUGGUAGACUAUAACACCAAAUGGAUAGAAGCAGAGCCCCUUGCUACAAUCACAACAGAAAAAGUGAUCAACUUCCUAUGGCGUAAUUUAUACUGCCGGUUUGGGGUACCACAAGCCAUCAUCACAGAUAAUGGGGCACAAUUUGACAAUGAGACAUUCAAAGAAUUUCUCUCUGAGCAAGGCACAACAAUCUUCUAUGCCUCCCCAGCACACCCCCAAACCAAUGGCCAGGUGGAAGCUAUAAACAAGCUCAUCAAGCAAAACCUGAAGAAACGCCUGGAAGAUGCUAAAGGGUUAUGGGCGGCCAAGCUCCCGGAAGUCCUCUGGACACUUCGUACUACCUCAAUAGCAACCACAAGGGAAUCCCCGUACCUCUUGACCUAUGGCACCGAAGCAGUGAAACCUGUAGAUGGAGGUCUCGAGUGAACGUGUUGCAACAUAUGAUCCUGAGACAAACGCCACGGGACUCCGUCUCAACAUGGACCUUCUCGAGGAGCGCCAGGACAGAGCACAUCUCAAAAAUGUCAACAACAAACAAAAAUUACCAAGCAUUACAACAAAAAAGUCAUCCCCCGCCCUCUAAAAGUAGGGGAUUGGGUCAUGAAAGAGGUUAUCCCCCACCCUACCGGGCUCAAGGCAAAAUGGGAAGGCCCAUUGGAGAUAGUCAACGCCCUGGGACCAGCUACCUUCUACCUUCGUGACACCGAUGGCUGAGUCCUACCUCGCCCCUGGAACGCUCGCCACCUCCACCUACCCUGUCUAAGCUUGUCAACACUCCAACGCCAACAUGGCAGUUAGUACUUCAUUACUUGUGUACUUUAGCCCGGUAGCGGCUCACUUCAAAUGUACACUUUGCCCAUUAGCGGCCUAUAUGAAGUAACUAUUUUCUCAAUCUUUUUCAACAUUCCUACAAAAGAACACAACAACCACACAGGCACAAGAAGCAAACAUAUUCCUUAACAUAACAACCUGGACUCCCAGACAAUUCAUAAAUAGCAAAAUUGUUCAACAUGGCUAACCACGCCACCAAAAAAAAAAAAAAUGUUGUUCCGAUGACAAACAAGCAGUUAAACUAAAAGGAAAAACAAACUAACUACAACAAUUACACCAUCCAAGCUACUUCUCCCCGGAAGAGGCCCCGCUUGACUUAUUCACACUCCCACUACUCUUCGACCCGCUACCCCGCCCACGACCUUGACCGAUGUUUACCGACACCCUCUGCCCAUAAACAUGCUUAGAACGGUCGCGUGCCACAGCUGGCGGCCUCACUGACACAUUUGGGCGCACCAGCGAGCUCACCUGUUGCACUUCUGGAACAGGGGACUUGGACGCAGAAGCCUUUAGCACCUCAACCCGUGGAGACGCCACAAGACCAACAACUCGCGGGUUAGGCGGCUCAACAGCAAAAGACGCAACUUGAGAAACGGCCACCUGUGUUAAAGGCGAUCCCUCGGGAUGUGGAACCCUGGGAGAGGCAGCAGCCAGGGCAAGCGAUCGAGGCACACCCGUAGUAGAAACUUCCUUUGGCACAACAGAGGAAGUAGCACGCCAAGUCUCAUGCUGCUUCGCUAGGGUCCGCGAAAUCUCAGCUUGCUUCCUUUGCUAUGGAGUCAUCUGUUCCCAAGCCUUCCUCGCAGCAUCCCUCUCGGCGUAAAACUUACGCAUUGCCACCUCGUUAAUCCAGCCAGCCUGACACCCGGUUUUACUCAGCUCAUCCUGACCCUGGUUAUAGGCACUCUUCAGUUGCUGCUUAUAGAGGUCGCUCUCACGAAACACCCUCUCCCCAGCCCCGGCUGCUCUGGCACACUUCACCUUCCAAGCCCUCUCCUGUUCUGCCAAGGCAUGAUUUAAUUUCGCUACCGCAGCCUCCAGGGAAGCAACCUUGGCGGCAGCCAAUUCUCCAGCUUCCACCUGCUUGCCUUUCUCCUCCAUGGCUUUCUUCAGCUCAGCCACCUCUUGCCCAGCGGUUGCGGCCUGAUCACGGAACACAACAGCGUCCUGCUCUACCUGCUCCAAACGUCGCGAGAGGGCGCGGUUGUUCUCUUCUGCCUCCUUCAGUCGCUGACAUUUGCUCUCAGCAUCCUCCUGCAGAUGAGUCACAGCCCUCUCACUUGCCGCGUACAUAAGAAGGGUGGCCUGUAAACAAGACAACAACAUAAAAAAAACAAAAAAAAAACCCAAACAAGCGGAGAAAAGCACAACUGGACCACCUGAACACCUACCAGGGUCAACUUCUCCUUGGCAAGAGCAAUGCCAGCUAAGGGCUCAACCUCCUCCAAGACAUUCAUGUCGCGGGAGCGGUGCCGCAUAUCAUACGCCAUCUGCGCUAAGUAUGGUUGCGCAUCCCCGGUUCCCUCCAGUGCAUGAGUGAUCUCCGCCAAACUCCCGGAACUUCCAGAACGCCCUUCCUUUUGGGACCUUUUUCCUUGGCCAUCACGCAAAGACUCGACCCUCUCCUUCCUCUUCCGAGUCUUGGUCACGACGACCUCCUCGGAGUCUUGCUCAAGGGGUUCCACCUCCUCAGCCAUGAGAUCCUCGCCACCAAUCUGGCCUUCCCCUACAUCUCCCAGCGAUACAUCCUCCAUCCCAGCUGGCUCCGGGACAUGCUCUUCCCCCACUGGAACCUGUUCUUCCUCCUCUUGAUCACCAACCCCGACUUCUACACCCUCAUCACUCACCCCUUGGUCGCCUAAGCCCAUUACUUCCGCCACCAGGGGAGGCACAUAAGCAUAGUCGUCAUCCGCCAAAUUCAACCUCACAAAAUCAUCUUCACCCUCGCCAAACUCCACCUCCUUCCCUUCCCCAGUCUCCAGGUCAACAUCAUACCGCUUAGCGUGAGCAGCCUCUGCCAACAACCCAUCCAGAACGUCCUGGUCAGAGACCUUGUCAUAAGGUCCUUCCUUCUUUCGCGACCCAGCGUCCCGAGUCAUCGUCACUGCAUCAGACAAAGUAAAGAUCAAAACACAAGCAAAAAAAAACAAAAACGAAAAAACCUAGGUAACCAACUCAAAAGCAAAAUACAGACCCGGGACCCGGGAGUAACCAAAAUAACUAUACAUGCCGAGGCGGCAUAUCCGGUAUGAACUCCUACACUCGAAUGCCCACAGCACCCGGCGUAUCCGACGCUCCAUUAGCUCGGUUAAUUUAUAUUUUUGGGGCACUACACAAAGUCAGCAGUCAGUAGGGGCAGUACAGUACAAACAAAAAAGAAAGCACGAGACACAAAACAUGGUACCUAUUUUUUGAAACGCCCCGGGUACUCAUAAUGGGUGUCCAUGCCACUCCUGCCACUACCCCCCAACAAGGAAACACUUCCGUCGCCAGCCCUCACUUGUAGAAGUAGGCAAGUCCUCUACUAGGAUCUUGAACUUCCCCCGGGACUUCAACGUCACACAACCCCGGCUGCCCUUCUUCGCACAGUACGCCAUAUGCCAACAGGCGUUAAACUCCUCACAGUUGGGGAACUCUUGCCCCAGCAAACGAAAAAGCACCCCUGUUCCUAAUAUUUGUCGCAACAUGUUUGGGGUAACUUGCCCCGGGGCGACAUGCAGACACGCCAAGGUGUACUACAGAAAGGCAGGUAACGGGAACAUCAACCCGCAUUUCAACUGGUACUCGUAUACCAAGGUAAAGUUGUCCGGGGGUCCCAAAAAUUAACACCCUCCCGAGAGGCCGUAACAAGACCUCCUCGGGAUACUCCAAUUCUCCCUGAGCGCCUUCAAUUCUGACGACGUCAUACUCUCGCCAGGGGGAUCCCAGAACAAGUCAUUGUCUUCCCGAGACCUUGUCAUGCUAAACUCUUUUACCUUCUGCAAGAGAGGGUCAGACGAGGAUACGUGAGACCCUGCAUCCGUAACAGGAAUGCCUUCCCCUAAGUCAAGUGCAACCUCCGCCAUAAGGUAAUCUACUUCCUCCUCCAACCGGUGCAAGGUGUCCGAAUCAGGAUCAGUCGAGCUAGAGACAACCACAAUCUCCUCGCUGGACACCCACACCGGAUCUGUCAUACCCUACAUCCUCACAUGUCAGACUCUCGCUACCUUAACACUAGCUAACUCGAUAACAAACCACUCAAUCCUCUAAUCUAGCCUAGCACAGUAGCCACUGAAGCAAAACCCACACAUUGUCCCUUUGAUCCAAAAUAAAACAAAAACAGAACCCAGAACGGGAAUUGACAAGUUCAUACCUGGGAAAAUUGGAUCUGUGUAGUGGCAAUGAAGCUAGUUGCAAACAACCGAGCACUCACACCCAAUCGAUCGAGGAUGAAAUUGGACGUUCCCCAGGUUCGAUUCACAGUUCGCCACAGCCCCUCUUCACAAAUCGAGCAACCCACUAUUCAGCCCUAAUUCCUCUGUUUUCGAAAUGCAAACUCCCUCCUUCUGUUUCCCAGGUCUAUAUAUAGAGCAUUUAAGGGGACCUUGACCGUCCUGAUCCUCUCCCUCUCAACAGUCAGGGCAUAGCCACAUCAACCACGAUCAGAGGGCACAUUAAAGACGCGCCCCACGAUCCCACGCAUGCGCGUUAAUUACGCGCACUUUACAAAAAAAAAAAAAAGACACACAAACCAACGAAACCGUUACGCCCUUAAAACUCGCCAUAAAUGACCGCGUGUCCCUCACAAACUGGCCAUUUAUGACACACGCGGGAUAUGACGCAAAGGUUCGUACCGAGUACUCGGAACGUAACCCCAGCCACCUUGCGACCCUCGCGUGGCGACUCGGGACUCGGCACCUUGCCCCCAGCUCCCGGGUAAGACAAUCUCAGAACGUAACCCCAGCCACCUCGCGACCCUCGCGUGGGGACUUAGGGACUCGGCACCAUGCCUCCAGCUCCCGGGUAAGACACAUUCUUGGCAUAACUUGAAAAAUAAUUCCCCGCCCAAGAGCUCUCUCGAACUAGGGACUUGGGGACUUGUUAAUACACAGCCAAAACAUUUGGCCAUGCCGAGAAUGCAAGAUCAUUACCCACUCGCCGGAAGCCAUUCCGGCCAAGCCAUCACCGGCAACCCUGCCACGGAUGCCCAAAGAGUGGGAGCAUAACAGCAACAUGCAUGCCGAACCCACUCUGCAAUAGCUAAACAGCCCUGAAAGGGAAGAGACUGAACAAUACCACAGAACAGUCCCACAUCGGGGACUAACCACAAAACUCCCAAUACAAGCCUAUAAAACAGGCACGAACUCCCAGAAAAGGUAAGUUCCACUAUUCCUCCCAUCCUCCCGUACUAUACAAGUAGCAAUCAAACGCUGACUUAAGCAUCGGAGAGUCGAAGACUGGGCCAUCCCAGUCCCGACUCCUGACGUGUUGUUACUUGUGCAGUUACAGGAUUCGGAACCAAGGAUUCGACCUCCCGUCCGGUGCUCUCGGAAGAGGUAGAAACAUAUAGAUCUUGAACUUUAUCGAGAACAAUCAAUUGAUCUAGUCAUUUGCUGUUAGUUUCAUCUUAUUUAGCCGAAAUCCCAUUAACUAUUUUUUUUCUAGAUACAUCAUCUUUUCGUCUUUGAAACCUAAGUUUUUUUUUUUUGUAAACCUAUAUUUUACAUUCAUAUGAAACCAUCUAUGAUCUAUAGAUUUUAUUAUCUAAAUAGAUUCUUAAUCUGUAUUUUUUAAUUUUUUAUUUUAAGAAUGAGAUCUUAAUUUAUAGUUUUUUUUUUUUGAAACAUGGAUGUGAAACCUUUCAUACCAAACCGGAAAAUGGUAAUUACAACAUGACCCGCGUGUAAGGGCCAAGUACCAUGUAAUACAACCAAUAGAAAACUAAAAACUAAAACAAAACCCAAAACAAAGGAUCAUCCUGCCUAACCCUAACUUAUUCGACUUGGCCCGAAACCAUCUUAGAGGCCUAAGCCCGUGGUCAUGAGCUGAGGCCCAACAAGAGACCCAAGCACAUGUUCAUGUGCUGAGGACACCCACUGUCACAUCCCGACCCUUAAAUUUUUACCUUAUUUACUAGCUGGGUUUUAAUAAGAGUUUUACCGUCUUUGUCAAUGAGUUUAUAGUUUAAUUGGUCUCUAGAGGGGUUUUGUAAGAGAAAAAUGUGACGACGGUAAAAAUGGUAAUUUUAGCUAGUAAAAGGUAAAUUUUAUUAGGGUAUUAUUUUCGGGGUGUUAAUUUUAGUGUUGGGUUUUAAAUGUUUUGAAAUGGUGGAACCAGUUGGAAAAGCCCAAGCCAUAUUUUUCUCUCCCUUUCCCGGAGUCUCUCCCUGCCAGAACUUCCAGCCGCCCGUCCGCCGCCGUCCGGCCACCUGAGACCGCCGCUCUGGUCCCGAUCGGUUGGCCUCCGACCCAGCUCCCAUCCUAGACCGGUGAGAGCUCCCCUAAUGCCGCCGUAAGGGAGAGUUGCCGCCUGAAAGUCCUGACUGCCCAAAGCUCUCUGUCGCCGAAACUUCCUCCUCCGGCCACCAAUCCGGGCAAGCUUUACAUGGUUUUGAAGGCCUUCAACUCAGUUGCCUUGCCCUAGAAGGACUCGGUCCAGUUUGCUUCAGGUGAGGAGAACCGGUGAGUGGAAGUUCUAGGGCUUUUUGUGAUGUUUUUGUUCGAUUGACCUAGUUAGGCUUGGAAUUGGUGUUUGUGCUAGUUAGGAAAGUUGUAGAGGGGGUUGAGAGGAAGCUGCUAUUAAAAUUUGGUAGGCAUUGGAGGUCGCCGGAAUAGGCCUCCGGCCGCCGCUGCCGGCGGAGCAGACUGUAAUACCCUUGAUUAUAAAAUAUAAGAAAUAAUCUUUUUAUUUGGGUUGGUAUGUCCUUAUACAUAUGCACAUGUACGUAUAUAUAUAAUCUAUGUUGUAAUACUCCAAUAAUUUGGUAAUUCAAUUUAUUUUGGUAAAUGUACACAUGGGCUUACUAAAGUUGUAUCAAGAUGGGGUUAGUUAAGAUCUAAGUUUUAUUGGCUUGGUAAUUGCUCGGGAGUAUUUAUUUUUAGAUACUUAUGUUUACCAAGAUUUAUGUAUAAUGUGUAUAUGUAUAUACACUGCCUCAAAGUUAAUACAACUUGAUAAUAAAAUAAAAUAAAAUAAAGAAAGAAAGAUCAAGAGGGAUGGGAAAGAUAAAAAUAAAAAAUAAAAGAAGAGAGGAGAAGUCGAGAGACUUCAGGAAGGAGAAAAAAAGGAGAACCUGGGAGAACAAACAAAAGGAAAUGAAAGAAAGAAGAGGGGAAGCUUCUAGGGGGCUCUCAUCCUCUCUAGAACUCUCACGGUCUCUCUCUCUCUCUCUCUCUCUAUCUCUGGGGGCUUUUCUCCGAUUUUGUUUUUUUUUUUGUCUCAGAGAAGGAGGGGAGAAAGACCUGGAGGGGGACAACCUAGUUGGAGGAAGGCCCAGCCAAGAUUCUUUCCCAAAACCAUCGUCCUACAACGGUUCGUCGUCCAUUCACUUCAUCCUAACGGUGCUGACAAGCCCUGUGAUGGAGGGAUGUUGAUGCAUGGUUCGUGGCUUACCACUGUAAUUGACUUGUUCCGAACAUCCAUGAGUUGGAGUGGAUUAGAAAUCGGCUUUGAUUAUGGCUGUGGCUAGAGUUGUGAAAGGUAAAAUUGACACUACCUACGGUAAGAUCUUGAGUAACGAUUGAGAUACUGGAUUAUGAGAAUUGUUCAAUAGUUGUAAUCGAUUUUGAGAUUGAGUUGAAUGACUUAUCAUUGAUUUCUUUGAUUUGGAUUGCUGAUCUGUUUUGCAACUGUGAUGGUAUUUGGGAAUUAGCUUAUUUACUUAUUCAAAUAAGUUUAAGGUCAGGGUGUUACAUAGAUGGCGGCGGCGGCGCUAUUUAGAGGAUUUUUAUGGUUUUAAUUGUGAUAUAUUAAAAGGAGUUUAAUGAUGUGAAGUUUGGAAUUUUUAGAAGAGUUUUGAAUAGGUUUUGGAUUUUUGAAAGAUUGGUGAAUUUGGCGGUUAAUGAGGUAGAAUCUGACUGUUGGAUUUCCCUUACGUUGUGUUUGGAUUAAAUAAUUUCAAUUUCCAUAGAAAUUUCAAAAUCAUGGGAAUUACAAUUUCAUGAAUUUAAAUUCCAUUAAUUGAGAAUUCCAUUGUUUGGAUUUCAUAAUGUAUAGUUUUAAAAUGACAAGAAUUUGUAUUUAGAUUAACCUCAGUUAAGAGAAUUGACAAAUAACAUCUAUUUUGUGAGGAAUUCAAGUCGGGAAUUUAAGCUCCCAAAUUCCACGAUUAUUUUUCCAUGGAAAUUGCUAAUUCCACGGGAUGAUAAUCCAAACGGGGGAAACAGUCCUAAGAAAUUGGGAAUUCCUUAGUUUUGAUUAAAUUCCCGAGAUUUCACCCACAUCCAAACACACAGUUAUUAUUGUUUUAGAAUGUUGAAAUAAAGGAAAUAAGGAUAUGGUUGGAAUUUGGCAUGAAUCCGAUAAGCUUAACCCUAGAAAGGGUAGUGGGUUAGACGGAAGAGUUUUGAGUUAUAUAUUUAAGUACUAUUUAUUCUGAAAUUGAAGUGUGGUCCUAAGCAUAGUUUUUGUGCCAGGAUUUGAGGAGACCUCACUUGAGGGGCGAAUUGGAAUUCGUCGGGCUUAUGUCUAAAGUUGUGAGUGGACUUUUGUUUUAACUAAAAGCUUGCGAUGCAUUAUAUUGUUGAUCAAUUAUUCUUCUGCUGAGAUUUAUUGCUUUCUCUGAUAUUUGGCAAUUUUCAUCUUUUGGAGCUCAUUUUCGGUGGAUAUGUAUAUUGGAUGUUUAUGAGGAUAGUAUGUAUAUAAAUGCUAGCUAGUCAUACAUCCUUGGUCCGUCAUAUGAGAUGAAAUUUCAUUAUGGCGUGACGUGAGUGUUAGACAUAAGCGUCAUAGCCCUAUAUGAAAACUACUUUCUUAUCUGAUUCAUAUAGGUUUUCAUAUAGAGAGUCCACACGUAUAUACACUCGUGCUUUUCCGCCAUAAUGAGGUAAAAUUCUAUUAUGGUGUGAUGUGAGCGUUAGACGCAAGCGUAGUAGCCUUGUAUGAAUUUCUAUUUUUCUAUUUUGUUCAUAGAAUUCGUACAAGGAGUCUGACGAGUGUAAAUACAUACACAUAUAUUUAUAUAUAGUUUAGCCUGAUAGGCUCUAUUUUAUUGAGUUUUGGAGACUAGGCGGAGCUAGUCAUGUAUUUGCCAGUUUGUGAGUAGAAAACUUUGAGCUGUCGCAUGCAGUAUAAUUUCUAUGAAAAAUUAAAUUGGGAAUGCAUAAAUAUUUUUAUAUUCAUUUUUGUCCACUCACUCUAACGGUUUCAAAUGUUUUCCCCUGGGCCAUUCGUUUUAAAAAUGUCCAGUAUGCAGGUUAGCAUAGUUGAGGUCGGGCGUACAUGGAGACGAGGCAUAAUCAAUAGUAUAGCUUCCGCUCAUAUUUCUAUUUCUAGUUCCUAUCUCCUCUAAUAGAGUUGCUUUGAACCUGUGAUUGUUGGUUAUGGGAUUUUUGCUAGAUUCAUAAAUAUAAAUUGGGAAAUGUUGUGAUUUGUGGGGAGCACGAAGGCUCCAGGAGUUUAUUAGGUUGGAGUUGGAACUGUUAGAAGUGUUUGCAGGUGUUUUAGUUAGGAAGGGUUGUCCAUUUUCAAGGGAGGUUAUGCCAAUUUUUUCGGUAAAUUUUCCUUGGAGGUGGUCCCCGCAGGAUUUACUUCGGGUUUCAGGGUGAAAUUCGGGGUGGGUCCUGACACCCACAUUGAGCACCCAGCCACCGACACGUUCCCGACGUCGGCGGUCGUCUCUCCGGUGGUCUGCCUAGCCACCACAACAUCAACACCAUCCUCUUGCUAAACCUUAAAACAAAGUCUUGGAGUUCUUCCUCGCACCAAAUCGGAUCUGGCGCCACAAAGCCGCUUGGCUCUCCAAAGAUCCAAGCUGCCGCCGCCAAGGCCUUCCCACCAAAACCAGAUCACGAACUAGAUCUGCACAGUCGCAUCACCACCCCAAAGCCAGAGCAGAAGCCGAUGUCGCCUCAUUGAUCUCUCUUACGAAUAGGGAGACCUAUCUCCAAAACCAAGACCCUGAACUGCACUACCGUCACCGUCUUGAUAGAAGCCUCGCUUGCACGAUGCACCGCUUUGCCCGAAACCCCUCUUGCACGGUGCCCUGCCAUGCCCGAUCGACGUCUAUCCGAGGAAUAACGCCGCCGCCAACGAAACCCUAGUUUCAGUUUUCAGAAAGGCUCCGAAAAAAAGAAUAAUCUCUAUCUUAAUUUAUAGUUAUAAACGUGUAUUGUCUGUAAAAAUAAAAAGAGUUUUACGUGGUUUUAUUAGUAAUUUAAUAUGAGUUAACAAAGUCAAGAAUACUUGAUAAAAAUAAGAGGUCUAAGUAGCAUUUUUUGAGGUGUGAAUAGAGGCCCCCUUUGACAAAAGUAAGUUAAAAAAAUUAUAAAAAUAUAAAAGAAAUCCUCCACUGCAAAAAAAAAAAAAAAAAAAAAAANNNNNNNNNNNNNNNNNNNNAAAAAAAAAAGAAAGGAAAAGAUUUCCUAGCUAUAAAUAUAUUUGAAGCUCUAAAAAAGGGUUCUCUUUUACACGCAAAAACCAAGAACAUCAGAAAUUUCUUUUACCAGGUUCUCUUCUCCCUCUAUCAGGUAUCAUACCUCUCUCCCUCUCUCGGUCUCUCUCUCAAAAUUUCUUAGGAUAUUAGAUUUUGUUCCUGUUGUUUAUGGCCUCCAUCAUGGACCCUCCAGUGCUACAUUCUCAGGGUUUUUUCAUUCUUAAGUGAUCGAAGUAUAUGCAUUCACUAAUGUUUUGAAUUCAUUUUCUUGUUGGAAUAAGGAAUGGGUGACAAGAAGAAGAAGAAGGCCACUAUGCUCAUCCGACUUGUGUCAUCUGCUAGGACUGGAUAUUUCUAUGUCACCACAAAGCCUGCCGGGAUGACAGAAAAACUCGAGUUGCGAAAAUAUGAUCCUCGGGUAAGACUUCAUGUUCUAUUUACUGAGGCAAAAUUGAAAUUCAAAUGAGUAAUUAAGCUCUUCUCUAUCAUUAUCGUACACCAACUUGGAUCCAUGUUUUUGUUGUUGAUAAUUGGAGCUGAGAUGCUAGCUGCUAGCCUGUAUGUAAGUGACCCAAGUGCUUACAGUAAUAUUUGGUGCUGUUUAAUUUGAUUUAUGAUAAUAAGAGUGUUGUGCCAUUCCUUCUGGACAAGCAUUAUUUGUGCCAUUAGUCAUUGGUUUUCUUUUUUGGUACAAUGGGAUCCAAGAGGACCAAGACCCGAAACAAAAACAAGAAAACAAAAAAAUAAAUAAAAGGUAGCAGAAGUCAUAAGUCAUAACCCUUCUAGGAUGAAUGCAUAUUUGCAGACAUAGAUGGUAAUAUUAGGAGACACAAAUCUUUAUCGACACUUUUCUUCGUAAGGCCAUCAACAACCAUGUCUCAUUUCCUAUGCACAUGUUGAAAUGAGGAAAGAAGCAAAUUGCUCACUGGAAUAUGAUAAGGGUCAGUAAACUUAGAGAAAUUUUUUAGAACUCAGAAGGCCUUUCUCACUGGAAUCAGUUCUGAGUUUGCUUUGGAAAUUAGAAAAAUUACCAGAGAUGUUCAGCUGAAACUAGGAUUAGUUCUGAUCUUUGAGCAUUUCUCAUGUCCUUUAGCUCUGUUGAUCUGAAAUAUGAAACACCAUAGUUAGAAAAAAAAGAGUUGUGAAUAAGAAACACAAAUAUUAGAACAUGGAAAUAAAGGUUCUGACCAAUUUCUCUUUCAACUUCUGAUGUACCUGGCCAGACUCCGAAAGGCCUUAGGGUGUGUAGUAGUCCCCUAUCUCUAUGUAUGGAAUGUGACUUAUUUUUUCCCAGUACCUUGGUACAUCUGGUUUAUAUCUCUUUCUAAGCACAGGACAAUCAUCAAAGAUGUAAAGUUGUGUGAGUGAAAAGGGCAGAUCCUCUGGAAUGGAUGCAAGCUUUGGGCAAUCAUCAAUUCUAAGAGAUUCAAGAGAGGUGAGUACUUGAAGGCCCUGGCUGGAUAUUCGUCUCAGAUUUGGGAAGAAUCCAAUGGUAAGUUUAAUGAGAGAUGUAGGAAGCAGCAUCUCCUCUGGUGGAAAGGACACCAAAUCUUGAUCGACACCUUGAAUGCAUAACUCUGUUAGAGAACUGAGUCUGUGCAAGUGCAAUCCCCAGUCCCUGAGUGGCUUACAAUUUCUGGGAUUCAAGAGGAUAAGUGAUGUUAGGUUGGGGGGAAAACCCUCCUCUAGAAUGGAAGCCAAACCUUCACAGCUGCCAAUCACCAGCUCCUGGAGAGAAUUGAGGUUGAUCAUGCCUUUGGGGAAGACGUUCCAUCGUUGACAGUCAGAGAUAACAAGGGAUGUCAGGUUGGAGGCCCUUUUUGGUAAUAAUCCUCUUGGGAAGGAAACAAGACUUGCACAGACAAAUACAAUUAACCUACGAAGAUUAGUAAGAAGACACAGGCCCUCUGGUAAGGAUUUCAGAUUUUCACAACGCCCUAUAUGAACUUCAAGGCAAGUGUCGUUGCAGUAGAGCUGUACGGGUUUAGACAAAGAUUAAAUGAGAUGGGUUUUUUUUUUUGGUUGUCAAAUUAGAGAUAGCCUUCUUCUUCUUUUUUUGGCGCUCAGAAAAAAAUUUGGGACUCGGAAAAUUUUUAGUGCGGCGGGAUUAAUGGCCCCUGUUUUUACUUAGCUUUUAGGGAUUGUUUGCUAUGGCAACUAAACCGUAGCAACAAAUUUAUACGACGACAUUGAAUACCGUCGCAAAUUUUUUGUUUCCAUGCCACGGCAUGAUAUAGCUGUAGCAAAUAAUUCCAUCAUUUGCCACGGCGUGUCGUUGCUUUCGCAAAAUAAAUUUCUUUUCUGCUACCCUACGAAUGCCGUCGCUAACAAGACAAGAACUAUUAGCGACGGCAUUUUCACGCCAUCGCAAUCUGUGGUGGCUAAAACAAUUAUUUUUUGUAGUGAUUAGAUCUAGUUAAAGCGACGAGAUCAUAUGUACCUGCUACAAACCUGUAAGGAUAAACGUCCCCGUAGGACGUAUCAUCCUAGUUAGACGAGGUACGGCAAUGGCAGCUAACCAGUCAUAGUCCCUGCCCAAAAGCGAGGUAGACCAUUAGAUUCGAACGAUUCUUAUCCCAGAAGAGGGUAAAGUUGGCACAAAUGAAUCUUCUUGCCAUCGCAAUCUCAAACCAAUUCAACUCACGAGAUAAAUCCGGAUUAUGGGUUUGUCCUAGAAGAGAUGAAGUUGGGGGAUGCUCCAACAUUUAAACCCGCUCCCGAGAAUUAAAAAUCUCGGUAAAUUUAGUGAGAUAUUGAAUCGAAAUGAGAUUUCAUCGAUGAUAUAUUUAUAUUUGCGGUAGCCACCGAAAUUAUAAUAAGCGAAUUUUGCUUCGUUGAUAGAUCUUAACAGAGAGACGAUUGGCUAAAAAGGAAAGAAACAAUCCAAGUCAUAUUAGAUUCUUUAACUUAGAGAAAGGUGUUAUGGGUUUGUUGUUCCCAUACCUCCCCAUGUUGAACAUAUAGAGUUUAAUGGGUACUUGUAAGGAAGCGUAAUGAGAAAAAUGAGAUUGUGAUAUACAAGACUCUUCUAAUGGUGCAAGGAUUUUCUCAACGCCAUGUGAUUGAUUACGAGGAGACGUACUUUCCCGUAAUGGACGUCAUAACGUUCCACUACCUUAUCAGUUUGGUAGUUUCCGAAUAACUAAAUAAGCAGCCUAUGAAUGUGGUAACAACUUACCUCUAUGGGGAUCUGAAUAUAGAGAUAUACAUGAAGCUAGGUUCUUGAAGGACUUCUGUUACCCAAUGCAAGUACUUCUAGACCACAGAACAUGCUCUCCAUUUGCUAGAGUAGUUCACUUUAGGGGUUCAAACAAUCUAGACGGAGUUGGUAUAACCGUCUAAAUGAAUAUUGCUUGGGGUGGGAUAUAUGAACAAAUGGACUAUGCCCAUGCGUGUUUUAAGGAAACAAAUUCCGAGUUUGUAAUUUGUGUUAAUUUAUGUCAAUGACAUGAAUUUGACUGAUACUCUUGAAGAGAUUAAGGAAACUGCAAAACACCUAAAAUUGGAGUUUGAGAUUAAUUACUUUAGGAGACCAAAUAUUAUUUUGUCGACCUGAAGUUGUGCAAAGUGCAGAUGAAAUUUUGGUCCAUCAAUCAAAUUAAAUCUAGAAGAUGUUAAGAUACUUUGAUGAGGAUAAAACAAAGUAUUUAAGCACACCUAUAGUCCUCCGAGGUCUAAAGACACUCGUAUUAUCGUUCAGAUAAUAACGAAGAGAUAUUGAGGCCAUAAGACUCAUAUCUAAGUACAAUAGGCGCAUUAUUGUACUUGGUUAAUUAAAUGCUCUUGACCGGACAUCUUAUCUGAUGUGAAUUUGUUAGCUAGAUAUAGCUCUACGCCAACACUCCGCCUCCGUAAAUGGCAUAAAAGACAAUUUUCUGUUACUUUAAAUGUAUGACGGAAAAAGACUCAUUCUAUCCCUAGGCAUCAUGGAAUGGAUCAACCACCUAUGAUCCUUGGAAUGAUGUUUGCCUUGUUAAAUAUGCUGACACGGGUUAUGUAAACCCACACAAGGCUUAUUCCCAACUGGUUAUGUCUUUACUAUGAGGAAUACAAUAAUCUUAGAGGUAUAUGAAACAAAACCCUCUUUAAAUCAUGAUGACUGUUAAGAGAUUCGAGAAGCAUUAUCAAAGUGUUAAUUUUAUCUAGUUUAUAGUUUCCAGGGGGAGUAUUUUGAAGCAUACUCUUGACCAUUGUGUAUUCUUUUGUCUUUUGUCUAGGGUUAUUUUGUCCCACUAGGUUUUGUUACCUGGCAAGGUUUUAAUGAGGCACACAUGAAAUUGGUCACCUUGCUCAUGUUGCAUCUUGAAGAUACAUUUAUUUAAAAUAUAUGCAUUUGCUCAUCUUUUCCCUUCGACCACGGGUUUGUUCCACUGGGUUUACCGGGCAAGGUUUUGGUGUAGCAACUAUUAUGCAUCUAUCUCCCACAGACUCACAUCUUAUGAUUCAGACUACCACUACUACGUGUGCGUUGUACUCUUUUCUCCUUCGACCAGGAUUGUUUUUGUCCCAUAGGGUUUUUAUUACCUGACAAGGUUUUGACGAGGCAACACUGGAGCACAUAUCAGAGGAAGCUAAUAACAGAGAAUACCCAAGGGGGAGUACUGUUGUAAAUAGUUUAUUUAAUGAGCAUUAUUGUAAUUAGCUUACUAGGGAUAUUCAUGUAAUUUACAUACUGAUUACGUCUCUAUAUAAGAGAUGGUUCCCUACUCAAUAAUAUACACAUAUUCUCUCAUUCUCUUGGUUGUUUCUCUCGUUUCUCUCAUUUCUCUCAAUAUAUUCUUUUGUGUUUUACAACACAAUUUUGAUUUUAUUAUUAUUAUUAUUUUUUCUGGAAAGACCCACUAGAUCACUUAAUAUGACCCACUUAGAUAUUUGAAAUUCGUUCAAUAUAUGAUUUUCCAGAUUAAUUUCGGUUUUCUCAACUUUAUAAAAUAUCAAUACUGUAUCUAAGUUUUAACCUCAACUCAGCUUCGAAACCACUAAUGAGUAAUGACAUUAAGGUCGUAAAUUUUUCAGGGUACAAUAAGUCCUUCAUGUGCCCCCCCCCCCCCCCCGAACUGGUUUUCCUAGCUAUUUGUGUGCAAGUUAGCUUGCUAUUACGCCCCGCCAAAUUAACAAAGAGUUUUCUUGAGCAUUUUUUACGCAAGCAUGGCUCAAGGAAGGUUUUGGGGAGCACAUGAGCAUUCUAAAAGCAUCCGGAAUAUUAUGGAAGGUCUUGGAAGCUUCCUGAAGGAUCGAGAAGCAUUCAGACAAAGCCGGAACUCUCUAAAAUCUUAGAGUCUCUAGGACACUCCGGAACUCUCUAGAACCCUAGAGAGGCUCAAGGCUCAAGACUACUCCGGAAGUCUCUAGAAUACUCAAGGUAACACUUUGUAUAGAAAACUCUACAUAUCUCUAUACUUGUAAAUGUCUUAGAAUUGUCUAGAAACUUAGGCAGGGGGGGAGGAUGUCUAUAAAUAGGGAGGUGUUGGGGUAGAAAUUGAAUAAGGAUCUAGGAGCUUACUAUUGUUGGGCUUGAUGAUCUGAUCUUUCCCUUUAGGGUUGCAAGACUAGGCCCAAAGUCUUCCUAAGAUAGACUUUGUUGUGAUGGAAAGGCUCCGAGUGUUUAAUAUCAAUAUUGAGAAGGCUUAGUAGUGUGCAUGGUGUGAGAGCUAGAAUCUUGCAAGCGUAACGGAAUGCCUGCUCAUCAUGGAAAAAUGUAUAAUGUGGGUGAGGGAUUGUAGAAUAUGGCGGUGGUGGUGUUUAGAGUGUCUGAAGGGUGUUUGGAAGGAUGGGUAUGAUGGUGGUGGUCUAGAGUCGGUUGAGCAUGAGAAGCUUGGUAGUGGUUUUUGCAUGUAGGUGUUAUGUCUCAAGCCCACUGUAGCUCCAUUUAAAUAAAACUGUUGUUGAAGACUGAGGGUAAAAAAUGACCGGUGACUCUCUAAUUUUAGCAAAGGUCAGAACCCCCCUUCUCACUGUCAUCAUUCGAGCCUUAAGUAAAAAAAAACGUAAAGGUCGUAAUGGUUCAGAAGCACCUACUCUUGAUUUCUUACCAAGCUACUUUUGGCUAAGGGGUCCAAACGAAACAUGGCCUUGGGUUUGCCUUAAGCUUAUAAGGUGAAAGUUGUGGAGACAGGCGCUCAGGUCUGAGGUGACUUGUGAUGUUAGUAUCCUAUGUCUAAAGGCAUUGGGUGAUAAGAUGAUGAGAUGAGGUAUCCGUUACAUGCCUAUGCACGGGAAACUCAAAUUCAAGUUUAAUCAUCGACUCCUAAGACGUCUCGAACACUUGACAUUUGGCCUCCAUAGGCCUUGCAAAAUUCAGUGUCCUUCCACACCACAACUCACUAAUAAGCCCCAUUUGGCCUAGUGUCUUGGGUCCAUGUUACUGGCUGGCCGUGUGACAUGUUGUGAUAGAUGGGUUUGGGUAUACCAUCCAGAUUCUUGUACGUAACUGUGCUUGGCGUGUGUUGGCACAUGUAUGAAAUGGGCGGGCAUAUGGUCAUUGAAACAUGUCCAUGAGAAACCACGUGCCAUAAAGGAAGUAGACUUGGGCAUGAACUAGCAUGACAUGGCCUGGCUUGACUCCCAAAUGGACCUUGUGUAGUUUUAUCUAAGGAAGGCCUUAGCGGCUUUCGUGACCUCCUUCUAUAAUUUGAGCAUGUCAUGGCGUGGCUUGCCUCCCUCGUCUUAGAUAGAGAUUUUAUACCAAGCCCCAAUUCGCUCGAGGCAGACCAAACGACCCGGACAUGGAUGGUACAAGCCUCAUAUCAGAUUUAAGCCUGAUCAUUGACCUUAGGUCUCUAAGACUUUCGAUAAAAAAACAGGCUUACAUUUUUGGGAAUCAACAGGAAGCACCCUUCUCAUUUGAGACAUAGAGAGUUGAAUAGCAUUCAAGCUCACUUGUAAAGCUUUGUAAAGUUCUCUUAGCUUAAUACAAGUUCUCUCUUUCAAAGAUCUUCUCCAUUCAUUCGGGUGUUCUAGCUAAAGUGUUUGCGUGAGUAAGGUUGACUUAGCAUAAGGGAAGUGCUAAGGCCGCACGAGAAGCUUAGGAAAAAGGAAGCUCGUGACAUUGCUCUUCCUUUUAGUGAUGUGCAGACUCUAAUAUACAUUUUGGACACUUCAUCCCAACAGCUCUAAUUUAGCAUUGUUAAUAGCCUCCAAUUAUUUUUUUUAAUUUUUUUUUAUUAAAAAAGCCUCAACCAAAUAGGCAAUGUCAAAUUUGACAACUGUAAUUGGCAUUGAGGGAAAAGUCCGAAAAACAAUGUCACUCUUUAUGUUUGUCCAAGUAGCAUGCACACGUUAAGCUCACUUGAAUAAAUGAGUUAAUUGUCUAAUGCGAUGGUGCUUUGAUACCAUUAUGGCCUGAGUUUUUUCAAUGAAAUUUUUACAUUUAAAAACAAAAGUAGUAUACACACCAUACCCUCCUACNNNNNNNNNNNNNNNNNNNNNNNNNNNNNNNNNNNNNNNNNNNNNNNNNNNNNNNNNNNNNNNNNNNNNNNNNNNNNNNNNNNNNNNNNNNNNNNNNNNNNNNNNNNNNNNNNNNNNNNNNNNNNNNNNNNNNNNNNNNNNNNNNNNNNNNNNNNNNNNNNNNNNNNNNNNNNNNNNNNNNNNNNNNNNNNNNNNNNNNNNNNNNNNNNNNNNNNNNNNNNNNNNNNNNNNNNNNNNACAAAAANAAAAAAAAAAAAGACAAAAAUAGUAUGCACACCAUACAUACUCUUUUGAAAUAAUUGUUUAAUCCAUGGUAAAUAUUCAAAUUUAACAUCUCCAUUGGAGAUGAGAUUAGUAAAGUUAGCAAAUGUUAUUUUUUGGCACAUGUCAUUUUAAAUUUGAACAAAAAAAAAAAACAAAUUUACCAUCUCCAUUGGAAAUGCUCUAAGAAGGUGUGAGCUAAAUGCACUCAUUAGUCUCAUUUGAUACCCGUUGAUUCUUGCUUAUGCUUUCAAUUCACAUGAAGUACCUUAAUUCUAUUCUCAUUGAUACAUUGCUUGCUGAGCCUACGUAUAACUAAAUAUUAUAUCAAUGUACCUAAACUUAAACUUCCAAAGUCUGAAAGGACAACAGUGGAAUUGCGGAAUCUCUAGUAUACUAUACCUCGAAGAUGGUCAUAUAACUUGGAUGAUGAAAUAAUUAGGCUCAAUCUAAGCUCACAAAUGACUUAGAUAUCCUCCCCAACACCCAGCCAUGAGCCACCGAUCGGAUAAACCCUCCUGCGAUUGAGAACGCCCACUGCCAAGAGUGCGCAUUUCCUUUUCAACCCCAUUUAAGUCUUGAUCUAAAUACUCUUUUCAGUUUGGUUGUUGUGUGAACUUAUUUGUCGUUUGUCUUAGAAGAUAUAUGUAAUGACAAUUCUGAAUAGGAAUUGAUGACUUCUGAUAUGAGCACAAAGUGUUAUGUUUAUAAUGUGUUUCCUACCCUAUUUAGUUAUGAUAUUCUCAUAAUAAUGUCAUUUCUAAUAUGUUUUGUGAUUGUAAAGGACAUGAGAGCAUAAAUCAAGAAAAGAAGGCUAAAUCAUGGAAAUAACAGAAAAAUGCAGAAAAAACACAGUGAACCCUUCUUGCAGUCCAAGGAAGGAAGAAUAUAACCCAAAAGAAGGCCCAAGUCCAAGGAUGAAAGAGAAAAAUGCAGAAAACCCAAAAGAAUACCCAAGUUGUCCAAGGAAGGAGAAAAGUCAAACAUGUGCUCCUAAAGAACAAAAGUCAAACAUUUCUCCUAGCCCCACAUCAUUUUUGAGGAGAAGUUCCACUAAGAUUUCCUCUAUAUAUAGACAGCCUUGAGUACUUCUCAAACCAUCUCUUCUUCACACAAAAAUCAAUGAAACACAUUAGCCUUCCUUCUCCUUUUCAACUCUUCUCUCCAGAAAAGAAGCAAUUCAAGCUGGCACCUUUGUAAGACUUCUCCAGAAGGCUGUUGAGAAGCAUCAGGCUUGUGUGUUCCUUUGAACAUCUCAAACUUCCUUGAAGAUUUAUAAAGUGUAACUCAUGUCUUGUUUCUUCUUUGUUUUCUUUUAUUAGAUUUCAAAGUUGGAAUUGAUUGGUUGUUAAGAACAUGAAUAUGUUAAUUUUCAGAAUAAAUUCAAGCAUAUUUCAACUUGUCUAUGAUAAUGUAUGUCUGUUCUGUUGCCUUGUUGAUCCAUUAAAUGCAUAGUUUUGUUUUCACCAAAACUCUAAUUCUACAGGUUAGUGUUGCUAGGUCUCUGAACUAAUUCACCUAAUAGUUUUAGGCAGAGAUCCAAGUAGUAAAGGUUAUGUAAUAAUAGCCGAGACUAUGUGUUACAUGCUUACAGGUUGGGCAUCUUCAAACUCAGAAUUCUUUAGAUCUUAAUGAUUCAUGUUUAGUGUAGACGGGUACUCUGAGUCGACACUGAGUAUCGAUCGCAGCCUUCGUAUGAAAUAUUCUCAGUUCUAGACGUUCUGUGCUAGGAGAUAAACUAAGUAGGAUUAAAGGAAUGCAUGAUCUCGUAGACUUGUGUUUCGAGUUUGUUUUUUGAUAUCGCUUGGUAAUGAAAUCGAUUAAAUGUUGAGACAUGUUGAUACUUGUUUGUUUGAUUUUGGAAUUGCUGGUUGAUGUGUGUUGAAGAUGAUCACUUGUAUAUAUAUUACUUUAGUUUUUAUCUUUAUCUUUUAGUAGGAAUGUUAAAACCAAACUCUCCAAACCCCCCCCCCCCCCCCUGUUUACCUUGUACCAUGUGUAUAUUUGUAAACGAAUACUUGUAAAUACUUAUAGUUACAUACUCUUUACUGUAACCGUGACUGCAUGAGUGCCCUUUUAAGUCCCCGGAUUGAUCGAACCCUAUUUGCCAAUACUACAUUCUGAUAAAAAAAGGUUUUUAAAUUGUGCGCCCGGUAACGAGCACGUCAACUUCCAAACUAAAGGUCUACACCAACUUUAAACAACAAACAGAAGAGACCAUCUAUACCCAGGCAUACUCCAAACACCCUCACCAUCAACAGGAGUUGCCAGUUGCAUGCUAGAGGAUAGUUCCAUUAACAGAGCUGUGCUGCUGACCAAGAAGAAAUGGCUUGUAAAAAGCAUGGGUUUGUGCAAUCUCAAUACGCUCCCGAGGGUCAUCCAUUGUUUCAUCCCUUAAAGCUUCAAGAAUAGCCUGCGGUGGGAACUCCCUAUUCACACAAUCAUACAGAAUCACAGUUCUUAUGCUAGUCAACAUCACCAUAGAGAACUAUAUUUGUGUUUUAAACCAACUUGCCAACUUAAUCAGCGCAAUUCACGCUACAGUACUCAAGUGGCAUUCUUUCACUUCAAAAAGAAAAAAAAAGUUUACACCUUUUUAUAAGUAUGCUAUACAGAAUCCUCAAGAUAGGACAAAGCUGAACGGGAACAAUGCGCCUAUCUUCUUCAGGAUGCUUGACACUUAAAGAAGCCUGACUAAGCAGCUCAUAAAAUGCUUUUACAGCAGAGACUCCCUGAAAGACAGAAAAGGAAUUAUCUUUCACAAAUAGUGAAUUGACUCUGUGCUAAUCUAAAUGAUUAUGAUCUUCUAAUUAAGCAAUAAGCAGCUAAUUGAUCUUACUUUUUUACAAAAAAAGUUGAUCUUUCCAGACAAAAGUAACACUAAAAAAAAUAAAAAAAUAAAAAGAAGUCACAGGAGAGAACCAAACUAGUUCUUGAAUAACCAGUGAAAUAAAACAUGAAAUUAAAAGAUGAAGAGUAGAUUUAUCAUCCAAGCUGCAAGUGAUAUCACAUUGUAGUAAUGUAUCUGGGAAACAGUUCUCCCACAACAAUGGUUAAUUAGGGUGCUGAAUAGAGGAAAAUAACAAUAGUUUGAAUCCAGAUAUAAACUUGUAUCAUCAUAUAUGAUCAUUCUACAAUUAUCCCGAGCUCUAACUUCCAACUGCAGAGUUGGAAGGCCCAACAAAAAUAAUAUGUCAGAAAGAAUACAUUUCCUCACACCCUGAACAGUUAGACAAUGCAUCUCAGUUAGUAGCUGAUUGUAAAAUAUAAAUUUUAACUUUGCAUUCCCUUGCCAUUAGAACUUCACCACUGCAAAAAAACUUUCACUUCAUUUUAUUCUAUAUACCCAAAAAUCCCACAAAACCAGUUGGCAGACUCAAAACUGGGGCUCCUGCCAAACUCUAUCAUCUUUAGGAGACUGGAAACUCUAGCAACUACCUGGGAGGUACUAUGAGGAGGUUUGAGUGUUUGACCUAGAUCACAUGGGAGUGAAACACAGGCAAGACCCCUCCUAUGACCCCUAUCUGGCAUGCUUACCAUAUUGUUCUAUGUUCCCAAUCCGAAGCCAUGAUGUCUUGAAACAAGUAAUAUGAUUCCCUUCUAUUAAUUUGUAAGUAUUCAGUACCCUUCCUCAUCUCUCCCUUUUUAAACUCCAUUGGGAUAGCCAAUCACUUCAAGUUCAGUUCUAAACAAACUAUGCUUGUUUCUUUGUCUCUAUUUAACAUGAUUGAGAUCCAUACCUGAAUCAUACCCCUCCCCUUGAUGCUGUCACCCAUUUCAAGGUUUAACUCCCCCUUGGCCAGCUUUUGUCCAUACCAUGCAUUACGACCUUUCAACAAGGUUACAUACGUGUCAGCCAAUAAAGGUCCUGCAAGUUUCUCUGGUUCUUCUGCCAAUAAAUGAGUGAUAAAUAUCAUCUCUGAUGUACAAUGUGCAAAGUAUACAGAUUUGCUGGUGGCGCUCUCAUUGGUUAACCCAGCUACCAUUCCUGUUGGAUAAUAGUUCAAAAUUUUGAUUAAGCCUCUCAAAAUACAUUCAAACGAUACAACAAUGAUCAAAUUAUUAAGGUUCCAAAAACAAACAAAGAUAACACAGGAUUAGCAACAAAGAAACAUCCUGAUAUAACAUACAGUACAAAAACACAAGGUCAUAGGAUGAUGAUUGAUACAUAACAACCUUCCAGCUGACAUGAGAUGACCAGUUAAAGCAGGAAAUUAACAAUAAAUCUAGGUUUCACCUGCAAAGGAUGUUUAGCAGGAAAUAUCGGAUAGUCUUGAGUCUUGACCCAAUUAACUGGACAAUAUACAUGAAUCUUUUCCUUAUAACAGCUUCAAGUGUCCAAUUUUGUAUAUUUAUGUGUUCUCAUAAAGGAAAAAGUUGGGUUCUUGGUAAACACUCAGUAGCUAGGAAUAUACGGUAUUACUCUCAACUGUUUGCAAUCCCUUUGUCACAUACAUGUAAUCCUUUUCCAGUUUUCGCAUCUAAGACAGUUACUGCAGUAUGUUAAUUGCACGGCAAGAAAGGUGAAUCUAAACUGAGAACAUUAAGAGAUGAAACUUCUAAUGACAAAAUAUAGAAUUUACCUAAAAUACCAUUUGUAUAACUUUUUUUCCUCUUCUAAGUUUUUACCAAUGUUCUUUUCUUUUCUUUUUAGAAGAAUUUUAUUUUUUUUUUUUUACUUAUCUUCAGGUUGUGCUAAGCUAUGAGACUGAAUCUUACCAGCUCCAAUCGCAUAGACAUUCUUUAAGCCACCCAUAACUUCAUGAGUAACAAGGUCACCAUUGUCCCACACAAUGAAGUGUGGCUGCCUUAAAAACUUGGCCAUUGGCUUUGUCCACUUUUCAGCUCCACAUAACCGAGCAUUAGCGUAUUCGUUGUUGUAUAUCUCUGAGGCAAUGUUGGGUCCUCCAAGGUAGAGAAUGUUUUCAACAGGAGCACCAGCUGAAAAUACCAUACAUAUUCGACAGAGAUUAGAUAAUCCUCGACCAAAGAGAAUUGCUAAAACUAAACAUUCAAGCAACAAAAUGGGAAUCAGCCUUACUUGCUCGCUGGAUCAUCUGAGUGGGAGUAACAAUGCGCGGUUCAGGCACCAAUUCAGCUUCCACACCUUUCGAAAGAGAAAUUAUGAUCGGCAUUGUCUUCCUAUCUCUCCAAUACCGACUAAUUUCCUCAAACACCACACUCGUCUCAGUUGAUGGCAGCCCAUUCACCACAAUGUCAGCAUCCCACACAGCCUCCUGCAAAUUGGUGACAACCUUCAAAGGGCAAAGAGGAGUGUCAAUCAUAUUCAGACAGAACCCAUCUCUCAAUAUCUCAUCCGCAAACAGUAUCCGGUCCCCUAAUCUUGCCUCGACAUAUUUCAAGUAAGCACAGCGCCUGAUCAGCCUCCUCAACACAUCUUCUCGUGAAUUGAUGACUUCAAACAAAUGCUCAGCUGUGGCUCUAUCCACAGGCCUUCCGGAUCUUCUCCAUAUUCUCACCACGGCCUUCUCCCUUAAGUGUCCAUAACUAUCUUGCAACAUUGCAACAAACACACUCCCCCAAGCUCCAGCCCCUACGCCAACUAUCCUGACCGGAUCACCUUCCGCUUUGCCCAUUAAACGCCGAAGCUCGUCCAGCUUCUCCUCAACAGUAACAUUUGAGUGCUUGACUAACCAGUCGGGUGAGUACUUGACUCCUUCAGCCGUAGCACCCAUCUUCCUCGCUUUCUUUUUCUCCUCACAGCUUUACAAACCAAUCAAACUUUUGAACUCAACUCUUUCUCUUACCCAAUUUCCGGCUACGUGAGACAUCAACGAGUUGGGGACCGAUCAAUACAAGAAGUCGAAAGUUACCCAACAGCUAAGAGCUUCAAAGCGUGAAGCAUUGAAUGUGUAGGCAGAGUGGGUCGCCAGAAGAGGGAAAAUGAAGGAGACCUUGGAAAGAAUCGAAAAUGGGAAACGACAAGUUGGUAGUUGGAAGUUGCUGGCUGUUUAAAUGCGUGGGGGAAGCACAAAUUUGUAGUUGAUGUUGUUGCCAGUUGUCUCAUCUUACGACUUCACGGAUGUGAAACCAGUUUUAACCGCUGAGAGGGCGGAGAUCCCAGUGGGACGACUCUCUGUUUUUAUUGGGGGGAGAGGUGACGAUUUUGGUCUUUAUACGGUAUUACUAUUUCUUAGUGUUCAGUGUUCAUACGGUUAUUCGGUGACCUAUAAUUUUGGACCAGUCGAGGGUUUAUACAACAGUUACAAAACAAAACCGCGAUGAACGCACGCUUCUUUUCGGCUGAUUCAAGUAGAACGUUGGGAGCACAAUAAAAGGGAUACAGUUUAAACCAGAUCGAAUGAGAAGGGUGGGAUUGAGCGAAAUCAGCGAGACAGUCUGUUACAAAUUUAGUCUCAUAAAAAAUACGACGAAACAUAAUAGAGUCGAACUAUAAAGCAAACUUAAGGAUCUCUAAAACUAGUAUUUUAAUCUGCCAAGGAACACUUCUCUUUUAGUGUAUGCAAUCUAUGAGAAGGUUUGAGUCUCCUUCAACAACACGCUUGAAGUGAUUAAAAAGAACUUAAAAGUACUGGAACAUGCAACAUGGAUUGAAAUAGUCCUCAGUAAACUGGUAGAAAAUUGAAACAAGAACACACAAUAUUUGUAAAGCGAAGGGAGGACAUUCAGAAUGGAGUGCCUCCGCACUUUUCGAAGGGAGCUUGAUUUGCGAAACCUAGGUUUCGGCUAGCGGCUCCGACUCUCUUCUUUCGGGCAAGACAACGGUGACCGUGCUUUGGUUCAUGACGGCUGCAUGGGGGAAAACCUCGACGUUGAUAGUGCUCGAGGUGGGAUCUGUGGAGUCUCCUCAACCCAGGUUGGUUUGGAUUGCUGGAUGACGAGAUUGCUGAAUCUGUUGGUGAUUCGAUGGUGAGGAAGAGCUGCGAGGCUGGCGGCAGUCUAGGUGUCUCGGCAACCAGACGGUCGUUUGACUUCCAAUCUAGAUUCGCACUGGUGCUCCGGGCUCUAAUCAGUUCAGUUGGCCUUAAGUCAGAUCUCGAUUGGGGGUUGCAGGUGCCGACUUGGAAGGCGUCACUGUUCAGAUUGGGAGGCGGUGAACUAGUCGGGAGGCCGCCUAACACUGGACUGGUCGGAGGAUCUACUAUGGUGCCAGUGAUCGGAGCAAACAUGUUGUGGUGCCGGUCACUGUUUUGGAUCUGUUUUGGGUCUGGGUGACCCAUUUGAGUUGGAUGGAGCUGCUGAUGGGAAUGAGGUGCCUUUAGCGGUUGGGCCUGGGCUCUUUUUGGGCCUAGGCUCAUGCUUUUAAGCUUUUGUUUGUUAUUUCUUAGAAUAAAUGCCUAGAUUCUAUGCUUCCCAUAGAUUAUAGGUUUUCUUAUUUCCUUUUUCCCUAGAGCAAUUGUCCAUAGUCAGAAGUUCAUUGUCUUUGCGACUAUAUAUAGGUAUGAAGAUGAAUGAGCGAGAAAUGUGUAAUGAUGAGGGUGCUAUUCUAUGUGAAUCAUUUGAUCUUAUUUGUCCUUUGUACGUAAGACUACAUCGAUUUAUGAUGUAUCAUUUACUUUCAAUGAAUGGAAUUCUUUGAGUUCAAAAGAACACACAAUAUUUUGAUGUUAUGUAAAAUCCUCAAAUAAGGCAAAAACACAAUAGGGCACAAACCCCAGAAAAUUGAACUCCACUAGACGAACUUGAAUAGAAUCUUACAACCACGAUUGUAACCAACAACUAUCACAAAUUCUCAACAAUCUAGUUCUUCAAUUUUCUCUCGAUUUUCAAGGAACUGGCCGCGUCCUUGAGACUUCCCAGUCACUCUCUACUGGCGUUGAGAGAAUGAUAACCAAUCACACUUUGAGUUUACUUUGACAAGGAAUGAUAAACGCAUUUUAUGCUAUAAUAUUAAUGUAUUUCUGACCCUACUUAGCUUCUUUAUGUCCUAAAUAACAUCAUUUCUAGCUUGUUUAUGUGUUGUAGGUCGAAAGAGGCAGUUUUACACAAAAGAAGGCUAAAACGCAAGAAUUGAGAGAAAUCCUAAUUAAAGGAGGAUUCCUAGUUAAAGAAGGCUAAAUUUCUUGUUGGCUAAAACAUUUUCAACAUCACUUCUUCCACCAAAAAUUCAGAAACGUUUGGUCUCUUCUAUUCUCUAAUACGUUUGCCCUUUGUACGCAACGUUUUACUUUCUUACUAAGUUGCUACGUAAUUAAUAUAGGCAAAAGUAUUGGUUCUGUUUCUGCCAACAAUAGUGGCUAGCCCCAAGUACUUUUUGUGUUUGUCAACAAACCCACACCAAGCACCUCAGCUAAAAAUUGACAACCUUGCUAAAGACAAUAUUGCUCUUAUUGAAAUUAACUUGUUGACUAGAAGUUGUUCCAUAUUCAGAUAACACAGAUUGAAUAACAACAUACUUUGAAAUUGAAGCCUUACCAAAUAGUAAGCUAUGAUCAACAAACAAGAGAAGACUAAUAAUUGGAGCACCCUCACAAAUUUUACUCCUUGAACCAAACCAUCAUCAACUUUUUGGUCCAUUUCGAAGCACAGAAAACACCUCCGUACACAAUAAGAAUAGAUAGGGUGCAAGAGGAUCACCUUGCCGAAGGUCUUAGAUGGAAUCAGUGAACCACAAGGCUUACCAGUUUUCAGAAAAGAAUAACGGACAAUGCUCACACAUUGCAUGAUGGUCCGAACCCACCUCGUAUCAAACCCGAGUCCCAACAACACUGCUUCAAGAAAAAUCCACUCCAUACGAUCAUACACCUUACUCAUAUCAAGUUUCAAUGACAUUACACCAUCUAAACCAUCAGAGUAUAUUGAGAAACAUCAUUAGCAAUGAGCGAAUUGUUUGUAUUCAAUAUGCCCGGAAUGAAUCCACUCUAACAAGGACUGAUAAUAUCUGACAAAAAUCUCUUCAAACGGUUAGCUAUAACCUUCGAACAAAUUAUAUAGAAAACAAACUUUAGUGGGAUACAUUUGGAAUAGAGAUAUUGUAAUUAGUAAACUACAGUUUAGUUUUUAAUCAAAUUUCAACUUACAAAUACAUCCUUUACACAAUAGUUUACACAUUUAAGGACAAAUAUUAACAAAUUAGGACAAACUAAUAUCAUCAUGCCAUCUGUUAUUACCUAUUUUACCCAAAUACCCUUCUUCCCCAUCCAUAAAAAUAGCCGAAAAAAUCAAAAAUCUCAGUUCCCAAACCUAACGUGAUCGACCAUCUCUCUUGUUUUCUCUCUUCUCUGUGACGAACAGUGUCGCCGGAGACAUUCGCCGGAGGAAUUUCGUCGUUUUGCUCACCGGAAAGCUCAGGAGAGAGUCGGAUCAAGCGUUGAUCAGUUGUGGAAUUCAAUCGUUUUGUCCAAUCAUCUCUCUUCGUCACCAUCAGUUCUCUUCUGGUUCGUAGAAGCGAUCUAUUCUUCUCUGAGAUAAUCAAAUUUUCAGGUUAGAUUCUGGCUUAUUCGUGUCCUUUUAUGCUUUAAUUUCAUGUUUGAUCGCAAUUUGAUACUUGUGUUUUGUUUUGAUCAUCUAGUUUAUAUGAUCUCUUGUGGAAUUCGUCUAGUUAUUGUUUAAUUUUGGUUCGUUUUGAAUUUUGAACUACUUUUUGGUUGAAAAUCAUAAUCGUAGCAUAGCAGUAGCAGGUUUCUAAUUAUAGGUUAGAACAGUAGCAUAGUAGCAGAGGAAGUAUCAGUAGUUUGUUUUUGUAGUUUUUGACUAUAAAGAACUAGUGGCAUAGUAGCAUAGUAGUAGCAUAGAACUAAUAGCAUAGUAGCAUACUGAAAAGAACUAGUUUAGGCUGAAUUCAUAAUAGAGCAGUAGCAUAACAGAUUUUGCGCUUAUUUAUGUACUAACACAGUAGCAUAACAGUAGCAUACUAGAAAAGAUUAGAACAGUAGCAUAACAGUAGCAUAAUCGUAGCAUAGCAGUAGCAGGUUUCUUAUUAUAGGUUAAAACAGUAGCAUAGUAGCAGAGGAAGUAUCAGUAGUUUGUUUUUGUAGUUUUUGACUAUAAAGAACUAGUGGCAUAGUAGCAUAGUAGUAGCAUAGAACUAAUAGCAUAGUAGCAUAUUGAAAAGAACUAGUUUAGGUUGAAUUCAUAAUAGAGCAGUAGCAUAACAGAUUUUGCGCUUAUGUAUGUACUAACACAGUAGCACAACAGUAGCAUACCAGAUAUGUUUAUUAACACAGUAGCAGAUAUGUUUAUUAACAGUUUUAUAACAGAUAUGUUUCAAUUUUUAUAUUAUGGAUAAAUUGUAGCAUAACAGUAGCAGGUUUUGUGCUUAUGUUAUGUAUUAACACAGUAGCAGAUACAAUAUAUUGGUAGCUUUAUUAACAGAUUUUCUAAUCAUGUUAUGUAGUAUGACAAAGCCUAUAUAUGGAAGAUUUACUUAUGGCACAGAGGCCAUUCUUUUACCAUUGUGUUCAAGCAGCACCUAUGAAGAGUUGCUUGAGAAAGUUUCCUCAAGAUUUCAGUAUCUUGGUGGUCGAUUUGUUUUUAGAUAUGCACUCACUGAUUGUUCCAACUGUCAUUUAGAAUGUGAUGAUGACAUUUCUGUCAUGUUGGAUAUCUUUCCUAUGCUGAACUCUUCCUUCAUAGAUAUACAUGUUCUGGAUAUUUGAUGUGGCUCUAAGAACUGUAUUGAUGAGGAAAUUCAUGUUGUUGUGAUGCCUGCUACUACUGUACCUAAUGCUUCUGAGGAUGUCCCUCUACAUGUUGCUAAAGCUAAUCUGAGUAGUGAUGAUUCAAACUACGAGGAUGUUGAUAAUAUGGUCAUUGGAAAUUUUGUUAGUAACAAGUCCAAGAGGAAGUAUAUGUCUAGUGAAUGGAGCAAGUAUAUCAACAAAAUUGGUCAAGUUUUUGUUGGUGGUGCCAUAGAAUUUCGUCAGAAGUUGUGCAAGUUUGCAAUAGAGAAGGGUUUUCUAUUUGAUUAUGCCAAAAACGACAGCUUAAGGGUCAGUGCUACUUGUUCGAAAAAGGAAUCUAAGAAGUGUGAAUGGUACAAUAUUUAUGCUUCCAUAGAAAAGGCUAGCGGCUUCUUUGUUAUUAGAAAGUUGGUGAAUACUCAUUCUUGUCUUGGUAUCAUGAGGCAUGAAAAGCAUAAGAAGCUAGGAUCUAAAGUGAUUUCCAGUAUCAUUGUUGAUAAAGUGAAAUCUGAUCCUUUGAUUAAGCCGACAAAUAUUGUUAAGAAUUUUAAGGAAGAAUAUGGUUUGGUCAUUCCAUAUUACAUGGCAUAUAGGGGCAAGGAUUCUGCUUAAUGAUCUUGUCAAUGGUAGUGAAGCUCUUGGGUAUGCUCUAUUGCCUUGGUACAUUGAUGCAUUGAAGAGUAAGUAACCCUGAUUCAUACUGCAUUCUUGACUCUAUUGAAGGUCGUUUUCGACGAUUGUUCAUUUUUUAUGGUGCUUGCCUAAAGGGUUUCCAAUAUUGUCAACCGAUGCUAUUUCUAGACGGGACUUUUAUUAAAAACAAGUACAAGGGUGUCAUGUUAAGUGCUUGUGCCAAAACAGGGAAUAAAGGUAUGCAAAUUUUUUCUGAAGUUUACUUUUGUUAUUUCGAUUUUGUCUAGGUAGUAGCAGCAUUGGUAUACCAUGAUUCAUUGUGAUUUUUUAUUGUAAAUUUAUGUGACUUCAUAGUAGCAGCCUUUUUUCUUGUGAUUUUCACCCGAUUAUGUUCUACAUGUUGUUCCUACAGUCUAGUUGUAUAUCUUUAUGCCAGUAGCAGUAUCAUUUUAUAGCAGAAGCUGUUGUUAAUUUUGAUCAUAUUUGUUAUCUUAUUUAUAUCCUGUUUUUGUUUUUGAUAUUUCAGAAAUAUUCCAAUUUGCCUUUGCGGUUGUUGAUGCUGAAACCAAAGAGAAUUGGAACUGGUUUCUGGAGCAUUUAGCAAUCAUUCUGAUGACUGACCAUCGCAGUAUUGUGUUCAUGUCAGACCGUGGACGUGGUCUUUUGGAUGGUGUGAAAGAGGUUUUUCCAAAUGCGCCCCACUCUUUCUGUAUUAAGCAUUUGAAGGACAACUUGAAUGGCAGGUAUCCAAGUUCUUUUGGUUCUACUUAUAAGAAACACAUUGUCAAAUUGUUUCAGAAAUGUGCAUAUGCUAGGACUGUGGACAUCUUUAAUAGAAAAAAUGGAAGAGUUCAAGAAAGAAAGUCGUAAUCAGGGUGAGUCCUUUCUUGAAAAGUUGGCACCAGAAAACUAUGCUAUUGCUUGUUUCGCUGCCAAAAGAUAUGGCGAAAUGAGUAACUCUUUGGCAGAGAGCAACAAUAAGAUGCUCAUUGAUGAGAGAUGCAUGCCGCUGCCCUAGUUACUUGAAGGCAUUCGUGUCAAGACUAUGAAUAAGUUUCAUGAAAGGAAGGCCAAAUCUUCUACUUGGAGGUCUGUGUUGUGUCCUAAGCUUGAGAAAAAGCUGUCGAAAAGGUUGGAAACUGGGAGAAACUAGAGAGUCAGUCAGUCUAGCGUUGAUGUUUUUGAAGUGUGCACAGAGGAUAGCAAUGACGUGGUGAACUUGGCUGAGAUGGAGUAUUCUUGUGGUUGGUGGCAGUUUCGGUGCUUCCCUUGUUCUCAUGCAGUUCAAGUGAUGUAGAAGGCAAAUCGCCUACCUUACCAUUACAUUGAAGAUUACUGGAAGACUUCAUUUUAUAGAAGUGCACAUGACCAAGCUAUUAUUCCAGUCCCGGAUCGUGAUAAGCCUAAUCCUAGCAGUUUUGGUGAUUCUGCUUUGCAGCCUCCCAUUACUCGAAAACCUCCUAGAAGACCAAAGACAAGGAGGAUCAGGUCUUUUGGUGAAGAGGCCAGACCAAUGCAAUGCCAACGCUGUCAUCAACUUGGCCACCACAACAGCAGGUCAUGCACUGCAACUAUAUGAGCAGUGGCAUAUGUAGCUAGGGAAACCGAUUAUGUUAGGAAAAAAUUGGUCAUGGAUCAAUGUUUUUAAGUAGUAGCACAUUUUGACAGUAGCAAAUUUGACUUUAGUAGAUGUUAUUGCUUUGCUGUAGCAAAUUACAGAUUUUUAGAUUUUACAGGAAAAUGUUUGAAUUUCAGCUACUUGAUAUUCUUUGCUAGCAGCUAUAUCGUACUUCUAUUUUUUAAUUUUUUUUCUUUUUGAGGUCAGUAGCAGGGUAUUCGCGGUGCAGCGGCACGCUGCUUUACUCAUGUACUAUUUUUCAUGAAUUUAGUUUGAUUUUGCCUCUUAUUUUUUGUGCCAAAUCCCCUUGCUUUUUCAUAGAAAGAGGCUGUGCACAGUUAGCGAGUCUUUGGCUCUCCUGAGAAUGAUUACCAAUUACCAAUUUAGCAAAGUAGUUUUUUGGCUUUAUUUUUGUAAUGCAUAUUGCCUCUAAAACCUAUCAGCAAAACUUUCAGCAACCAAACACAACAUUAAUGCCUGUUAUUUGCACAAAACAUUCAAUUAUGAUAUACCAAGAGCUACAUGACCCAAGCCAACCUGUACAAACUCCCAACUCAGUAGCAUAGUAGCAUACUGAAAAGAACUAGUUCAAGUUGAAUUCAUAAUAAACUGUAUCAGAGCAGUAGCAUGUUUUUACAGUUCAUCCAAACAAGGUUAUGAAGCAAUGCUUAAACAAAAACCUAGACCGCUAUCUAUCCUAAUGCAGUAGCAGCAUUUUCAUUUUCCAUUCCUUGGUUUUUUCGAGAGUCUCUGCACCUCGUAAUCUUCCAUUUUCUUCUCUUUUCGGUCCCUCCUUCCUUUGAUCCUCUUGACUAUUGAACGCGUCCUUGGGGAAGUAGCAGGUUGAGCUUCAUUUUCAACUUUGCCCUUUUCUGUGGCCUUUGCUGUGGCAGUUUCAGCUACUUUGUCAUCUUUUGCAACUGCACCCUUCUCAGCUUCUUGUGCAGUUGCACAUUCAGAGCAAGAACCACAUUUGGAACGACAAAUUUCCUUCUAAGCAAGAAAAUUGCAUAUUCAUUAGACAAAUCAAACUACGUUUCAAAAUUUUAAAUUCUCAAUGAACACAUAACAACAAAGUAAAUCAAGACAAAGAAAAUCACCUCAGUAGCAACCUUAGCCACACUCUCUGCAGCUUCUACAGCGACAAUUUUUUCACUCCCAGCUCCACCUUUUUCACCCUCAGUGUCUUUCUCACUCCUAGCACCCUCUAAACCCUUUUGCAGUAGCCAUAGUUGUCUGCACUUUAUCCUUAACUUUUUAAUAUGUUCUUCCUUCUUCUUCAGCUUUGCCUUCAACUGCUUAUAUAUUUUGGUCACUUCUUCUUUUUCUUCACAUAGCUAUUCUAUGUAAUCAGAAUUCCUCUUGUAGGAGGUGUAGGUGUCUAUUGCAGACCCAUCCUGCCGGUGCUCCAUAGUGUUAACGUCUUUGUCUUCACUGCUUUGAUACUCAAUUCCGUUAUAUAUUAGGGCCUCCUUUUCCAUCUGCUUUAUCCACUGUUCAAGUUCUUCCAGAGUACACAUUUUGUUAUGUUUCAUUCUCUUCGAAAAUACCUCAGUUUCUCCAUCCCUAUCCUGAUUGAAAAACUUCUUCAGGAUUCUUUGUCUCUACGGCAUUUUGUUCAUAGAUUGCAUCCUCAAACUCAUCUACAUUUCCUUCAGCUCCUCCUCCAUUCUCAAAGUUAAUUCAACCAUUUCCUUACCCUUUCCAUCCACUUUGGCAUGUUGAUUCUCUAUCUCCUCUGUGUUUACCCAAUCUUCUAAUGCCAAGUAUUUAGGUUCCUCUUGAACUUGUUCAGCAACACCCUCUUGAACUUGUUCAGUAGCUAUCUCCAUAAUUCGGUCUGUAGCAUCCUCUUGAACUUGUUCAGCAGCACCCUCUUGAACUUGUUCGGUAGCUAUCUUCAUAAAUUGGUCGGCAACAUCUUCUUGAACCUCUUCAGCAGCAUAUCCUCUUGAACUUGUUCGGUAGCUAUCUCCAUAAAUUGGUCGGCAACAUCCUCUUGAACUUCUUCAGCAGCAUCCUCUUGAACUUCUUCAGCAGCACCCUCUUGAACUUCUUCAGCAGCACCCACUUGUACUUCUUCAGCAGCAUCCUUCUUUUUGUUUUUGUUUGAUUUCUUUGCAGUGACUUUGGCUUUCUUUUCGAUCUUGUUUCUUCUCACCGACACCUACUUUCUCUUUCUUAGCUUCCAUCUUUCUUUUCUUGGGUUGAAUCUUCAACUGAGGGUCCUCGAAGUCAUCAUCACUGUUUUCUAUGGCUGCAUAAAUGUUUCUUCUUUUUUCUACAACUGCAUUAUCAAUCUGCAAUUCAAUUUAGUCAGUAAGAUAUUGUACAGAUGCUUAAAAACAUUUACAGCAACAUAUUCUUACUUCUAUUUCAUCAACUUUCAUUUUCUCUAGAUUUUUCCGUGAAUUCUGGUAGAUUCCAUUUUGCGCACCCUGGCAUCAUUUCUUCUCUGCCGUCAAUCUCUAUAAGCAAUGCACUUCU
rnacentral:lncRNA from 1 species